UUUUUUUUAUAACUAAUCUUAUCAAUUUUUAUAAUUAUAAAAAUAGUUUUCUUAAAAAAAUAAUUAUAAAAAUAGACCUUUAAAUGCGGUGAAUCAUUCACCGCAUUCAUAACUUAUGUUUAGAAGUAGAAAAACAGUAAAAGCGAUGAACCAUUCACCGCUUUUACCAUCGUAGAAUUAUAAAAAAAAAUAAGAAAAAGAAAGAAAGCGGUGAAUGAUUCACCGCUUUUAAAAGCGGUAAAUCAUUCACCGCUUUUAUAGGACUAUAUCUACAAAUAAAAAUUUACCAGGUUUAUUUUUAAAAUAAAAUUUUAGAAGGGGACUAUUGCACUAAAAACCCCAUGAAAAACUGACAAACUAUAGAUCUGUAUAGAUUGUCUAUUCACAAGAUAUGUGGAGUCUUUGCUUAGUUUGGAUGUUCAACUUACUUUGCUUUGACCAAUGCGUAAGAGGUUAUUUUGAUACCAAAUUAUUCAGACCUACAAGAUGUGUCAAAUAUGAGCCCAGUAGAUUAGAGUACAAUAAUGAUCAUGGAGAAAGAUAAAUCUGAACUGAAUUACUGAUAUAUUUUAAUUGUCAAAAUAACUGAACGAAUACUUCAAAUAUAAUGAAGGAACCAGCUUUUGGUGUUCUUUGAAGAAGAGAAAGAGAGUCAGAAACCUGCUUCUGAUGUUCUUUAAAGAAAAAAUGGUUAGACUUCUUUAGGGGCAAAAUUCCUGUAAUUUGAUUUCUGGAGUUAUUUAUUAGAUGUAUUUUUUUACAUUGUGCAGUCUACCUUCGUAGGUUAACUUGAUCAACCUAAUUUGCUUCUGGUGGAAAAUAUGUAUGGUUAACUCAAGAAUUUAACAUUUGCAAGAUGUUGUAUAUUCCUUUGUAUCUUAUAUUUACGUCAAAAAAAAGAAAUACGUGGUACUAUUUUUAUAGUUUAAACUACUUAAUUUAUCUUUAAGGAUUUUGGUAAUCUUCUUCAAAAUCUGAGACAUCUCAUCUCUUUUCGAUUUCUUUCUUUGUAACUUCCUUUUCCUCUAUUUUUCCUCCCCUAGAAGAAGUGGUAGAUAUCAACCAGGCUUGUCUUUUAUAAUAUUUACUUUUAUGUUUCUUAGUUAUAUGCGUAUGUUUGCAUAUCUUAAGAGCUAGUUGCUUUGGUGUUCCUAAUGUACUGAAACUUGAAAAUGCUGUGUUGGUCAUGCUUUAACUAUUAAGACAUCAAUGUUUAUUUCUGAGUCAUCCAUUUUGCUUUGUUUGUCGUCUCUAUUCUCUACGUGAUAGCAAUUACUGACCCAGUAUUACCUAUAGCCCCAAUGGUGCAGUAGUGAUCACCAUUGGGAUUUCCUUGUAUUUGCAAUGGCACCUCCUUUCUGAUAUUUGUUAUUUAAUUCUUCCACAUGUUCUAAUGCAGUUACCUAUUGGUUCUCGUAAUGGACUCUCCAAUAUGUCCCAACAGAAGAUAGUAAUAAAAAACAAACAUGGAGAAAACCUUGUUGGGCUUCUGCACGAAGCUGGUUCGAAGGAGCUCGUAAUCUUGUGCCAUGGAUUUCGCUCAUCAAAGGAGAGUAAAACCAUUUCGAGCCUUUCUGAUUCCCUAACAUCUGAAAAUGUAAGCACUUUUCGUUUUGACUUCUCGGGAAAUGGGGAGAGUGAGGGCACAUUUCAGUAUGGAAACUACUGGAAAGAGGUCGAGGAUUUACGUGCUAUAGUAUCAUUCUUUUCUGAUCAGAAUCGGCAACCAAGUGCUAUUAUGGGCCAUAGUAAAGGCGGCAAUGUCGUUAUCCUAUAUGCUUCUAUCUAUAAUGAUAUCUCUAUUGUUAUUAAUAUAUCUGGCCGAUUUCAUACGAAAAGAGGCAUUGAAGAACGAUUAGGGAAGGAUUAUAUGGAAAGGAUCGAAGAAGAUGGAUUCAUUGAUGUGAGAGACAAGAUGGGUAGAUAUGCUUAUCGUGUGACUAAAGAAAGUUUGAUGGAUCGUCUCAAAACUGAUAUGGGUUCUGCAUGUUCUUCGGUUGACAAAAACUGUCGGGUUUUGACUAUACAUGGUUCAGAGGAUGAUAUUGUACCCUCUGAAGAUGCCCUUGAGUUUGCCAAGUAUAUAAAGAACCACAAGUUGCAUAUCAUACAAGGGGCAAAUCAUAAUUACGUAUCACAUCAACAGGAGUUAGCUGAAACUGUGCUGAAAUUUAUUAGAUCUAAUUAAGGAGGAUGCCUCUAUUCAGAGUAAUGGCUUUGCAUGCUUGAUCUUUAAUAGACAAGCUUUGAUAUGUUUAUUACUGUAUCUUCUGGUGAGUUGAAACCAUCUGUUAAGAGCGUAAAAGUUCAAUGGAGCAACAGUUUGCUUAAAGAAAUGAUUCUGUUGUAUAGGCUUUACUGGGGAUUGAGCGAGCCCUUCCAAUUGUAGAACAAUGAGGUACAAGAAUUCCUCGGGUUUAAAAAGGUAAGUCUUUUAACUUAUUCAUAUAUCUAGAUUUAGUAUACCAACAUGGGUUCUUUUCAUUUGCGUGAAAAUUUAUCCUUUUUUUUUUUUUUUGGGUUUCUGUAACUUGCUCUUAUCAGCUUCAGAAUUAUAACUCUUGUGUGUUUAGAUGUAGAUUUGCGCUUUUCUCGUUUUGGUGUUUCAUCUGUUUCGUCUUAUAUGGAAUUUGCCCGGAGAUCUUAUAUUCUAAAUAAACGGCUAAAAGUAUGUAUUAGCAUUUUGAAGCCUUUGAUCUUUUUAAAGCAGGGUUAAAUCAAUCGAGUCUUGUACGUUUUUUUGGGAUAAACUCAUGCGAAAAUUUUUAUUUUUCAUCGGGCUAUGGUUUUAAGCUACAUUUUUAUUGGUUCAGGAUGUACGGUUUCUUUAAUUCAACUGCAAUAGUCAGAUCAAACCACUAUUAGUCUGAUGAUAACGUGUCUGGUAGUCUAUUUUGAGGUCAAAGGUUUGAACCUUCUUGUGGGCAUAAAUUUGGGGGCUUGAGCCUUGAAUUUCAGGUUUAAUAUAUAUAGGCCUUAGGGAGGGAUUCCGGGGUAUGGGAUCUACUUAGUAUUGUCAUCAGAAAAAAAAAAAAAAGGAACAAAAAAGAAAACCUCAGUGAUAUAUAGUACAGGCAUUAACCAUACAUUUUACCCCUAAUAUUUUGUUUGUACCUUUUUGCAUGUUUAUAGCUCUGUGGACCAGAUGUGGACAUUUAACUAAAUAUUUUACCCUUGUAAAUGGCUCUCAUAUUUCCCUCUUCCAUAUUCAAAAGAUCCUUCAAUGUUGUCAUUAUACAUAUUCUUAUUCCAGUAGUAUCAAUUGUUAGAGUGACUUUUUCAUUGAAGCUUAAAUUUAGCUGACACAAUACACGUGAUUGGUACAACAUAAUAGAAUGAGAUAAUUGCCUAUGUACCCUUCGAAAGUUUUUUUUUUUCAUAUUUACCCAUCAUUUAAUAUAUACAAAAGUUUCUUUGUAUUUCUUAUAUACCUAUAUUGCAAGGGUUUAUUUGAGAGAAUUUGGAAUUUAGAAGGGUAUAUUUGAGCUCAGCAAAUUUUGAGAGGUAAAAUGAAAGUCGGAAAAUGGAGGAGGAGGUUAUAUAGGCAAUUGCCCCUAGUAGAAUAGUCACUUGAGGAUGAGGCUUAUUUCAUAUACAAUUUUAUCAUGGUAAAAUGUGUGGAUACUGGACGGUCACUCCUAUCACACACAGCAAUUUGGUGCUUAUAUUUUCAAUUUAAACACUUUGUUCCUAAACUUUUACACAUAUUGAACUUUUAAUCCUCCAUCAUAUAACAAAAAAGUAAAAGUGACAUUUAAAUACUAGUAAAAAGUAACUAAAAUAAGUGAAUCAUUAAAAUAGGAGUGUAAAAUGAUCAUUUCAUAUAAAAAAAAAAACUUAUACUUUUCAGUACAAUUGGGGACCCUGUGUUCGUAUGAAAAGUAUGGGAACCAGGACAUUAUAUUGGGGUAAUUCAGGGACUACCUAUACAUUUUACUCUUUUAUCUUUCUAGGUUGAGAAGAGGGAGUACUAUAGUGUGUUUAAUGAAUAACGCAAUUGAUGGAUUGCUCAAAUAGAAACUUGCAAUGCUUCAUGGUUUUGCAUAACUUUGGUUUACUUAUAUUAUUAUAACUAAAAAAGAAACAUAAAGACGUUUCUACAGCAUUGUGUGUCUCACUGAUUGAUUUUUAGAUCAUACAACUAACUGUUUGGAAUGUGUAAGUGCAUGGUGAUGCACACUGGGCAAAAUUUACCCCACACAUUUAUUACGCAAGUCGAACAAUUUACUGUGGGAAUUGAUAUUGCCAAAACAAUAUUUACUAUUGUCAGAGCACAAACAUUGCAUCUUUUGAAGCUUUCUCAUUCCGACAAUAAUAGAUAUUGCCAUGACAAUAUCAGUCCAACAUUCACUCAUUUCGCUCGACGAAACGCUGCUCGAUCAUUAUUAUUAACUCAAAUCACCAGCUGCCGCUGUUUUUGCCUUUGUUGGGUCCGUACAAGCGGAAGAGAUUGAAAGCAGAGAUGCAGGAGAUUGUGACCAUGCUUAUGCUCACCAGGAAUGCGCUCACAAUCCCUUCCCCGACCCUGGUGCAGAACUUGCUGUAGAGGUUGCAUAUCUUCAUCCACUGCAGCUCCGCCUGCCCGAACUGCCCCAGCACCGCCGACUCCGCUGCUGCCGCCACCGCCGCCAGCGCCACGUAAGCCAUCAUCUAAAAUGAAUCAACCACAUUACUAGUAAAAAUAUUAAAAAAAUCUGCACAUAUAUAUUUAUGAAGCAAUCGAUGAGUUUUAAGAUCUCGGUUCUAUGCCGAAAUAGGUUAUUCAAGGAUAACUUAUUCGGUAUACGAACUUUCUUGCGUAAUUGGAAGCAUGAAGUUUAUUUUUUGCUCGUUGAAAAGUCUAGAAUAUCUAUGAUUUGAUAGAAUAGCAUAUUUUACCUAUAAACUGAUUUAUCUUAUUCUAAAAAAUGGUGUGAAGGCUGAAUAUGGUAUCCAUUCGAAGUCACACUCUUCUAUCAAAUCCUACAGCCUUAUUUGGAAGUCGAAAUAAGUUAUUCAAGGAAAAUUGAUUCGGUAUUAAGAUUUUCUAGUGUAAGGGUAAGAAAUGAGUUUGAUUUUUUACUCCUUGAAAAGUUUCGAUAUUCAUGAUUUAAUAGGAUAGUAUAUUUUACUUAUGAGGUGAUUUAUCUUAUUAAAAAAAUGACUUGAAAGUCGAAUUAUUCAACUCUAGAUAUUUGAUCAUAUUGCCAUCUACCAAAUGUACAAACUUCGCAAAUAAAUUAUGAAGAUAUACUGAAUAAGAUAUUCAUGCAUCUGAACAAGAAAUAAUAUUUAAUAUUUUUACAUUCAAUACUUUUCCUUACAUAUUAGCUGGAGAUUUAUUAGAAGGGCGCAAAAUAAGGACAUAAAUUGAAUAGGAGGAAAUUGAAUGAGACUCGAAGCCUAUAAGGUUGGUGAGGCUUGUGAGACCUCAUAUUAUAAUGUUGUCUGAAACAACCUAUUACUCUAAAAUCUUAAACUACCAAAGAGAGAUGCUUAACAUUUAUAUUAGACACUAUUAUCAUAGUUAAUAAAUUAAUCACCUAACCUAUAAUAGUUCAUUGAAGGUUCAAACUUCAUCAAGUCUAUAAAGAUAAAAAGAAAAUAUUCUAUUAGUUAUACUGAGAGAAUUGGGAAAUGAGCUCAUGACAGUGUAGUUAUUAUAGGAGUCUUUUAUUGAUACAAUAAAUGCUGGUUUCCCACAAGAACUUAUUUAUUAAACUGCACGACAAUUAACCACCAUAGAGUACUUUGGACAAUACAUUCUAUGCAAAUUUGAUGCUUUGGCCCCUCCAAAUUAUGUAUUUUAAAAAAUAAAUCAACUUGAAUGUGUUGUCUUUUGUAUUAAAGGAUGUUUGGUUUUCAAGCCAAUUUAAUUCACUUGCAAGGUUUGGGUGGAGCUUUAGCAAUAGUGCUUUUGAUUAAAGCUAUCCACAAGAAUCAUAACUAGGAGUAAGAGCUUUAAAUGACAAUUUUCUACUUCUGAGACACACAAACUCACCUUUUCUUUCAGAGUUCAGUCAAAGAGAUCUGAUCUCUGAUUUUGAAACAAAAGGCUAUUUCAAAAUUUAGGGCAAACAAGGGACUUAAACACAGAGUCCUUUAUAGCUACACAACUAGAAGCAACCCACAACCCAAUCAUGUGUCCCCCAUCUGUCUAUGUCUAGCCCUAGUAGGGAAUUAAUUGUGAUUCCAUGGGAUUGAGGGCAUUCCCUGUGGUGGUUUUGAGGUGCACAUCAGCAGUUUUUAUCUGUACUAACUAUUAAGUACCAAACAACACAAAUUCUUUGCUAUAGAGUAGGGCCUAUUAUUAUGCACAAUUAAAGCUAAUGGAACAAUUGCAGGAACAAUUGCAACUGGAAAGUUCUCAUAACACCUACUGAUUAUUUGGUGGGCCUAUUCAACCACCUCCCAUAGCUACCCACCAUCUUAUUCAGUUGUGACCACAUUUGUACACUAGUAACACAAAUGAUACUACACAUGCAUGUGAUCAAAAAUGACCCCCAAGUAGAGAAUAACAAAUAUAAAAUAUUAAAGAUAUUGUUGUUGCAUAUUGUGUAACAUGGUAUCAGAAUACAAGGUACCGAGUUUCAAUUCUAUCAAACUCCUAGAAUUCUUUGUUUCGUCCAAUAUGCAUGAAAUGCAUGUGAUUGUUGUAUGUGUGUAUGAUGAUCAUAUUACUAAUUACCUGAUCACAAGAGAAGAUUGCCCAUGCCAAGGGCUUAUUGAGGAGCACACUCCCUCUCAUCAUGCUGAUCACACACCUCACCCCCUGGAACAGACUGUAACCUGCAGCAACCCCAUUUGCUAUCACCAGGAACCUGGACACCCAAACCAACCCAAUAUUGUUUGUCAACACAACAUAUAACCACUGUCCUGCAUAUUAAAUUAAGAAAUAGAAAAAAGCACAAGAGCACCAUAGCUCCACUAACAACAAAUUAAUCUUAAUUAAUGUGGUAGAGAGAGAGAGAAAGAGAGAGAUUGAUGAUCCCUCAAGAACCUCUCUAAGCACCAAAAGCUCUACCAAGAACAAAACAAGUUAAUCAAAUUAAUUUAAGUAAUGUGGGGGGGAGGGAGAGAAGAGAGAUUGGUCUUACACCAAGGCCUUCAUGUCAGUGAACCUGGCCCUCUUCUCCAAGGAGAAGAUCCUCCUGACCUGGGAAUCAGUUCCCACAAGUGCAGCAGCAAUCACUCCCAACCCACAAAUCAGGCAUCUCAGCACCACCUCAGCUACCUUCACCCUCCUCUCCACCAACUUCACCUUCCCUCCACCAUAGAAGUACACUGGCACAUUCCCAGGGCUCACCCCAACCCCUCCCCUCAUACUUUUUCUUCUUAUUAAGAUUGGAAGAAGAAAGAGGAUGAACUUGCCCCAAAUUGAAACCCCCCCUCCCCACCUCCCAGAAAAAAAAGAGCUCACUCCACUAUUUAUAACCCUAAGAUGAAGCCACCAAGAGUCCAAGAUCCAUCAUCAUCAUCAUCUCACUCCUCUCACAUAUGUGCAGGGUGACAGCAAGGGUUUCUGUCUGCCCUGUCUGGCCUUUUAAUGGUCUCCUCUGCCCAAAAAUUGUGAGGCCUUUAAAGGCAGAAAUUAUUGACUGGACUUUGUCCACCAAGUCACCCAAGACACUGAUCUGUAAAAUUUAACUGAGAACUUUUGGUGCUGGUUUGGUGUGGCUUCUGAUGUUUCUUUGUAACGUAGCAGCUUUCAAUAGUAUCUGGUAAAUUAAAAAGUUUGAAACUUUAGGACUAUAAGAAGCUAAAUGUGCUUCAGAGCUUUAAAUUUUUAAACACUAAUUCUUGUAACUUGAUGUGUUGGAAAAAAGAUUUUUGUUUUGUUCUUAAUAGUUGGUUAAUUUACAAUACAUUCGGUUAAAUAAUAAAUGCCUACUUAUUUUUUUAAAAAAAAUUGGAAACAAGUAAAAGUUAUUUUCAAGUUUGUUUGCAAUUGAGUAUCCACUCAUACAUCUUUUUAUAUAUAAAUUCUAUUUAACAAAAUAAAAAAUAAGAAAUAAAUAUGCUACCAAGGGCCAAAGGGGCCCUUAAUUUGUUGUUUUUGGCUUUUGCUACAGGAAAAAGUUGUUGGAGAAACUUUUCAGGCAAUGUUUUAUGAAAUGGAAGAUUAUACUUAAUCAGACAGGAGAGUAAAAUUGACCUUCAAAAUUGAAAUAGUGAAAUUGUAAUUGAAGAUGUGAUCUAUAAUGACUAUUUAAAAGUUUAACAUACUAUAAAUCAUGAUUUGUGGAUACUAUCAUGUGACUCUAAAAAGAAACUAUUACCUGAGCAUCCAGUGAUGCUCAGGGUGAAACAAUGUUUUUUUUUUUUUUUUUUUUUUUUUUUUUUUGGAGAGAGAUAGGUAGCACGCUAUUCGCUUCGUUUAUUUCAUUUAGAAAUAAAUUUAGCUGGAAAUGUGAAUCAACUAGAAUUCUAACUUGGGACCUUGGAUACCAACCGCCAAACCCUUUGUCACUUACUCCAGAAACGGUCGGUAGGGUGAAACAUUGUGAAAACUACAUUGUUCCUUACAUAAAGUAUGUUAUUCAAAUUUUUAUUUUCCUUUUAUUUGAAGAUCUUUGAUUAGAUACUAUAGGUCAUAUCACAAUUAUAAAAAAUAUGAUUAAGAUAUUAGGGGCUGAGUUCUAGGGGGCCUAUAGGUGGACCAUGGUGGACCAAGUCUAAACAAUAAAUUCUCCUUUAAGAGGGGGGCACUCUCUCUCAAUAUCAGGCUGAGCAUUUAAUAAUUUGUGUCUGAAGAACAGCUUCUCUCUGAGCCAUUAAUGGGCUCUUGCUAGAACCAAGGAAGAGGGGGGCAUUGAUUCCAAUUAGGAAGGGUUUAAUUGCACCAUUGAUCCCAACCUUUAUCUGAUUUUUUUAUUUUGAUCCCUUUUUUUCUGGUAAUUAGAUCUAUAACUUUUUUGGUAAAGUUUGGGGAAAAUGAUGCAAUUAACCCAUUUAGGAGUAGAUGCUGGGUGCUUCUGGGAGUUCCCAUAGUGUCAGAGAGAAAAUUGGCAAUAUGUACUGUGGUGGUGUGAAGUAAAUUUCAUGGACAUGUGGCAUUGGAGGAGGUGAUGGAGGAGCCUCUAAAGCAAAAGUUUUAGUGCAGUGGUGGUCAAAAAGAGUAAUGAGAGAGAGCAUGGGUGGUGGAGUGUAGAUGUAGCUCCACCAUUAUGUAAUGUUGGGAUAAGAUUUUCUUUGUUUUUUUUUUUUUUCCUUUUCCUUUUUUAAGCAUUAAAGCAGGUUUUUGUGUUCAAACUAGAAAAGCAAAGUGAAAAUGAUGACAAAAGAUUCAUGAAGUUACCUAAAGAUUAUAAAAAUUGUUUUUGCAGUUUUAUGACAUUAGUAAUUGAAAAUAUAAGAGACUCACAUUCUAAAAAUAAUAAUUUGAUUCAAGUAUUUUGUGCUGUUGGUUUUGAUUUAACAUUAUUUUGAUCUAACAUUAUUUUUAUUAUUGGCCCGUCGUUAAAUUUGGAAUCAGAGCCGAAUACUAUCAUCUAGUAAUUCCGGUCCAUACGGUCUGAACGGGAAAAAUUUAUAACAUCCAAUAGUUCUAUAUCGGAUGAAAAAAAAGAAUUCUUUUUUUUUUGAGAAAUAAAAAAUAAAAUAAAAUAACUCAGUUUAAGAGGUUGUAUAUUUUAAUAAUAAUAACUGAAUUUAAGCAUUUUGAAACGGUACUUAUAUUUUCAUUGACUCAAAUUUUAACUUUAUAUUUUAUUCUUAUCUUAGAUAGGUCCAAAACUUUAAAAUAAUUAUUUCCGGCACCAAACUUUAGUACAACGAGCUGGCAUAUGGUGCUGAUUAGAUUUUCUAAUAUGGACUAUUUUGAAUUUAAUACCUGAUCUUUCAAAUAUUUAAUUUUACUAUCCAACCUUUCAAUUUGUUUGAUUUAAAUAGUAUAUGACAUUUUGACUUCAAAAUUUAAACUAAUUUUUUACUUUUAUGAAUUUAUAAUAUAGAGAAUUAUAUAAAGUGUACUAGCUAAAUCUAUAAAGAUAAAGACACAUUCGUAUUUUGGAGUUAAAAUUCUGUUGAUUGAUUUAAAUCAAACAAAGUAAAAAAAUAAAUAAUAAAAUUAAAAUUUUGAAAGAUUAAGUAGUCGAUUUAAAAUGACAUAUCGUUUGGAGACCUUUUGUACUAUUUUACCAAUUAUAAAUUGAACAAAUAAUCCAAUAAAGUACCAUCUUAGUUCUCUCUAUUGGAGAAGGUUUUGUUUUGUUAUUUUUUAAUCUAUUAUUCAGAAUUCAACUUAGAUAUUCAAAGUCACACUAUAUGCAAACCCAGUGUUGUAAAGUUUUCCUUGUUUUUGCGAAUUUAUAGAUGUACCAAACUUUUCAACCCUUUUAGAUGGAAAAAAAAAUACAAGGUAGAUAAUGAGGCAAUUUAAAAUUUAAAGAGAUAGUAAAGAACUAGAGAUAGACGAAACAUUCAAAUUUAAAGUUAAAUAGUUUAAUAACUCAAAUUAAAUAAAUUAAAGUAUUAGAUAGCAAAAUCAAAUAUUUAAAGAUUAGAUAGUAAAAUUAAAAUUGGUAAUAGCUGAGAUAAAGUUUUAUAGAGUUUUANUUUUUUUUUUUUUUUUUUUUUUUUUGGAGAAAAAGAAAAAGCUUGUUUGUUGAACUCCUCCAUAUGGGGUCUCCUUCUAGAAGCUUGUGAGGCUCUUGCGAAGUGUGUCCCUCUUUCUCUUUCUCUAGGAAGAUAAAGAAACUUCUUCUCUCAUCCCUAUCCCUACAGUGAAUAAACUGGUGGCAAUUUGGAUGGGUGGAAUUUUGUUUUUGGUUGAUAAUCAAAUUAAUAGAAUUAAUUUCAGGUACCGUUUGGUUCGGGUAUAAGCAAGAACUAGCUAUUACAGGGAUAGGUACAAGUAUGGAAAUAAGAAAAAAAAAGUAUUUGAAUGAAAAUUGAAUUCUUCCCGGGAAUAAGAAAAAUAGCGUUUGGUUAGGUAAGAUGGAAUAAGAAUUAAAGUGGAUAGUUAUAAAUAAAAAAUAAUAUUAUUAUUCUUUUCUUUAUAUUAGAAUUUGAAUUUUUAUAUUUUAUAUUUAUAUUUUAAAAUUUAAAAUAUAAACUUUUAAAUUUUAAAAAUCAAAAUUAAAUUUUAAAAUUUUAAAAUCUCAAAUUUAUAAUUUUAAAAAAUUAAAAUUUUAAAUUUUAAACUUUAAAUUUAAGAUGAAAUUUUAAUUUAAAAAUACAAAAUAUCAAAUUCUAAAUAAAAAAAUUUAAAAUAUCAAAUUUUAAAAUUUAAAAUUAAACAAUUUAAAUUUUAAAUUUUAAAUUUUGUAAUUUUAAAAAUUAUAAAUUUUAAUUUUUAAACUUACGAAAUUUAAAUUUUAUAAUAAAUUAAAAAUUCUCUCACACACUCACUCACUCUCUCUCUCUUUCUCUCUCUCUUCACGGGUGGAACAAGCUGGGUUAUCCCAGCUUGUUCCACCUUGGGGUUCUCACCCUUUAACGGGCUAUUAGAAUAGCCCGUUUAACGGGCUAUUAGAAUAGCCCGUUAAGGAGGGAAUUAGUAUUUCCACCAUUUUUUGUUUGUGUUUGGGAGAUAAGGGUGGAAUAAAUCCUUUAUUCCACCUUUAUUCCCCAACCAAACAUAGCCUAAAAGUAUGGGAAUUGAUAUUUUCACAGCUAAAUUUAAUACUGUUAGAGUAGGUAUAUUGUAUGUAGUCAUGACUUAAUUUGUUUUUUAAUUCCGUGAAUAAUUAAAUUUGCUCGAAAAAUAUCAAUUCCCUAAAAUUAUAACUUAAGAUAUUUUUAACUUUAUUUAAAGUACUAAAUAAUAAUUUUGAUGAUAAUCAUGUUAAGUUGUAUUUUUUUUCUAUCUAAUGGAAAGAAAUAUUCUUUUUUAUUGAGGGGUUAUUUCAUCUUUUACUAAGAAAAACUAGAGAAGUUUGGAGUCGGGGGGUUGAUUGCAAAUACAUUGAAAGUUUAGGCCCAACAAAUUUUUCUUGUAAUUUGGAGUCAGAUGCUAAUAUAUAGUUGAUUCAGCUGCCAUUAUUGUUCAAAGGAUGCUUUAGUGAUGAUUAUUUAAGAAUUGUCAUGCCACUUUGCACUAUCUCGUGAUGCCGUAUGCGCUGACAUAUAAAUGGAGUGUGUGCCGACGCGUGCUGAUGUGUCGUGCUGUAUUUAUGGCACAUCAGCAUAUUCCAUACCAAUGGCACCACGAUCUUUAUUAAUAAUAAUAUAUUGACUUAUUAGCUGCUGUAUUUUCUGAACGAUAUUAAUAUUUUUCUGUCAUGUUAUUCUCAAAAAAAGGACAUGGCAACUGAAUUAGCUAGCAUCAUCGCACGCUGUAUCAAAUAUAUGGCGGUUAAAUUAAAUUGUAGGAUCAUUUUCACCUUGGAGAGUUUAAAUGAAGUUAGGCAAAUUGACUUGAGUAAAACAUAAAAUAAAAUUCGAUAUUGUGACAAAUUCGUGUCGAGUGACUCAAAUGAAAUUGCAUUAUAAAUUUAUCAGUGUCCAGUGGUGUAAUUAAUCCACAUUGUUACAAGUUUAUGCAACUUUUAGUGUUUGUGUUUUGAGGGGAAUCAAAUAACCAAUAAUAAAUGACUAAUGCGAGUAUUGUUUGAAAAAGAAAAUUGCCGACAGAAGGUUGAGCAGAUCUCAAUCAAGCUCAUUUUAAUAGCUUCAAUAAAGUUCGAGCCAACCGUAAUCUAAGAAACUGGGACCCAUUGUAUAAAUACAUAAGGAGAGGUAUUUGGUUCGGCGUAAAAAAAAUUGAAAAAUUAUUUUUGGUAUGAAAAAUAUUUUUUUAUCUGUCUGAUUCGAUAUAAAAAUGUUUUUUCAUAAAGUUUUUUUUUUUACGGAUUUGAGCAAAUAUUGAAGUUUUCGCUUUUUGUUGUUUUUCGGCAAAAAAUGCAAACUCUCUCACUUAUUACUAUAUACCCUCUUUUCUCUUUAUAUUAAUAUAUUAUAUUAUAUAAUAUUUUAUUUAUAAAUAUACAUUUAUAUAUUAUAUAUGUGUUAUAUAUAAUAUGUUAUAUAUAAAAAUUAUUGUACAUUAUAUUAUAUUAUAUAUAUUAUAUAACAUAAUUUUGAAUAUAUUUAAAUUAUAAAAUAUAGAUGAGGAUGAUUAUGAUAAUAAUAUUAAAUUAUAUAAAUUUUAAUUAGAAUAUAUAUAACAUGGCAGUUAUUUAUAUAAAUAAUACAUUAUAAAUAAUAAAAAAAAUACACAAUUAUUUUCAUUCAAACUUUUUCUUUCAACCAAACAAGAACGGCUAGAAAAUUACUUUUCCUUUUCCUCCAAAUCAAAUGUUAAAGAACGUAAAAUUAUUUUUCCAACGAGAUAGUUUUCAUAGUUUUACAUUGAACAAAAAAAAAAAUUUAGCCCUAAAAGUAUGGCCAAUUUGCAUAAAAAUCCACAUAGUUUUACGCUUUUGCAAAAGUGGGCAACUUUUUUCAAUUUUACAGAUUCGGAUCGAAUUUUCAGCCAACUGACCAAAAUACCCUUAUUAUUUUUUCUCUCUCCUCUUUUUUGUUUAAUCGUUCUUUUUUUUCUCGCUCCGAAGAAGGCCGCCUCGUGGGUUUCUCUCUCCGAAGAAGGCCGCCUCGCCUCUGCCCCACACGCCCUCGCCCUCGCUCGUGCACCCCCACCCUCCUCCCCUCCAACCUUGGUGAGACCGUGCCGCGACUCUCCUUCUCCACUAGGACACGGUGACGUCGAAGCGUGUAGACUCUUCUCCUCCACCGCGCGUCGGAACGCCGAGACGUCGUCGGAGGCGGCGAGAUCACCUCCGACGACAUCACCAGAUGGUGAUAAAAAAAAAUUAUAGAAAAAAAAUAAAAAUAACAAAAAAUAAAAAUAAAAAAUAUUUUUUUCCUACAGAAAAUAUCAAAAAAUAUAAAAGAAGAAAGAAGAUGAAAUCGCAUUCUUAAAAUAAAAUUACACUGCUUUAAAAAAUAAUAAGGAUAGAGGCGUUGAGGCAGCGGGCGGGGGCGGUCUGGACGACCUUGCGGCCAACGGCGGCGAGGAGGAAGGGCUCGUUGGACCACUCACCUCGGUCCACGAGCUCUUACAUGAGCUCAUGGACCCCGAUGCAAGGUAAAGUAUGAGCCGCGAUUUUUCGAUGGUGAGUUUUCAUUUUCCGCCGAAUGUCGGCAGAAAACGAUAAGCAAGCUUUUCCACAGAAUCCGUAAAAUAAUUUUUUCUGUAAAAUUUUUUUACGUCAAACCAAAUGCUAGAAAACUCAAUUGAAAAAAAAUUUUCUGACCAUUUUUACGGGAAACCAAACGCCCCCUAAGCCAAAAUGUGCCCUUUCCCAAAAACCAAACACCCCUUCUUCAAGCAAGCAGCAGAUCACCUAAAGCUCUGUGUAGCUCGAAAUGCGUAGCCCAAAAUGCAUUUGCACAAGUUCAAUGAAUCAGAUCUAACAAAUUUUGGUCGCAAAGAAACCAAAAAUUGGAACAUCAUCAGAGAGAAGAAUGCGAAUUUUGUAACAUUCUCAACAGCACAAAUUACAAUACCACAGUUCGGAUCAGCAGCAACAGAACCAAGAGAAAUUAUACAAAAUCCAAGCUUCCCCACACUGCACCAUUUAUAGCAAACUACAUAAAUAAAUGGAAGCUUCGGCCACACAUGACAGGGGAAAAAUGAAUAUGAAAAUAACAUCAAAUAUCAAUCACAAGUUCACAACAGACCUAGUAUCACAUACCAUAUCUCACAUAAAGACAAACGAUACUACAUGCAAAGUUAUUAUGGUCAGCACAACAAUCAUUCGAAGGAGGAUAAAUACAACAUCGAGCGGUCUCGGAAUAGCUCUACUAAUGAUUUAUAGCUUAAUAACUAACAUGAUAUAUUUACUUCGAUCGCUGCCCAUCAGACUUCUCAGACCCCGCACGAACAUUCUUCAGCAAGUCCUGGAUCUUAGACAGCAUCAGGAUCUGCGAAGGGUCGCUUCCUCCUCCACUGCUGCUCCCCGCAGAAGCCCUAUGGCUCUCCUGAAGCUUGAUUUUCUCAAACAGCACCUGCUUCUCUGCUUCUGCUUCCUCCAACCGCCGCUUGAGAUACAUGCUUGCAUAAUCCUGCUCCGCCUUCUCAGACUUGGCGAGCGCUAUACUCUGAAGCCUCUCGGCUUCUUGACGAGCCUCGUUGGCUUUCAGCUGGAACAUUUCGGCUUCUGCUUGUUUAAGCCGUACGAUGCUCUCAAGCUCUUCCACCUGCCAUAGCCACAAGUGCACUAUUCAGGAUAUAUACUGUAGGGCACUGGGUAUUUGGCACAAAACAAAUAAUUUCAAGAAAAAAUCGGGAUUAGCUCAAAUGACAAAAACUCAAAAAAAUAUAAGAUAAGAGCACAAAUUAUUUUAAAAUAGAAACUUCUUAUGCAAUUUUUCUCAUUUCCUUUCAUUUUUAGAGUUAAAAAGGUUAAAAAAGAUACAAGUAAAUAAAUUAUUAACCAAUUAGAAUAUAACUGAGAGCUAACUCAUAGUCAUGUAUUACAGAACAAUUUAGAAAACUAUUCAACCAAUCGAAAGUUCAUGAACUAUUAUUCGUGAAUAAUUUUUUCAAAAGGAAAAGUCAGAUAAUAUGGUUAAUAUGCCACCUGCUGCUUCUUUCUUUGUCUCUCCAUCUUGAGUUCUGCUACUUCCCGGGCCUUUUCAUCAAGCUCGCGUUCACAGGCCUCGAAAGCAAGGCGGGCACGUUUUAGCAUUCGCAUUUUUUCCUCAGCUACCAUCUCCAUUUUCCGGACAGCUUCCUGUACCACCUCAGCAAUCCGGUUGCAGGCUUCUUGAGGAGCAAUUAGACGACCAGAAUCUUCCGUUUCAGUGUUUUUUGGCGAAUCUAUUUCCAGCUCUGUAGAGAGAAUAAAACUUAAAAUACUGUAUACUUUGUGUUAAGGGUUUGGUAUCAGUUCACAAAUUACAUCCAAAAUGCAUAGAGCUUCUUUGGUGUUAGCAAAGCAUGAAAUUUCUCAUUAAUCUAAUAAGAAUGAUAAGGCCCGAUUUUCCUUUUGUUUCAAGAAAAAUUCUAUGUGACUGAAAUUUGAAUAUACCAGCAGAUGGGCUUCUAUAUUACUGUUACUGUCGGUACCCUGUGAUGCCCCCCCGACCGAAUGGUGAACAGCGCUUUCUUUAGGCUAGGAAAAAAAAAGAAGGCAGUAAAGAAAAAUUAACUUUUUGUUUUUUGUCGCCAAACAAAAUCCAUAAGCGCAUAGGGCCCAUUCAAUUGUAUAUAAUUUGAAAUUAUAUUUUUUAAAAAAGGAAGCAAAAUCAUACGAGGACUAGGCUUAAUUCAUUACAAUACAAAUGUGAGAAUGCAUUCAGUGACUGUAGACUAUAGGCCUAUGGUCAUCAAAAAGGAAGAAUAUUACUGACUACUAUUCCCAGGAUAUGUGAUGUAAGCCAAAGUUUAAAAGGAAUGUUUAAAUUGCUUAAAUUAUAAAAUAAAUAAUAAAUGACUCGAGAGAUAAGGAAGUUUGGCCAAUCCAGGCCUAGAGAGAGAAAAGGGAGAGGAUAACAGCCAAUCCAGGGCAAAGAGAGGAGAAGAUAAUCAGGUCAAACCUGAUUCCAAAAAUUCAUUCAUUUGAAACCUUAACAACAUUAACUCCGAUGGGCUUAUCUAUAAUAGAUCUAAAACUAAACAAAUUCCUUAAUAUAAGGAAUAUUAUUUUACCCCUAAACAACCGUUUUAAAAUUUGAAUCUAACAACCUCAAAUGAAAAGAUUCUAUCCAACCAUUAUUUGAAAUUCAAAAAAAAAAUCCCACUAAAUAUGGGAUUUACAAUUUCCUAAAAUAUGAAAUUAAAUGAGUUAACAAAAUGUUUUAUUUUAUUUAAUUUAAAAAAUAAUUAUUUUCAAUUACUUUUGAAAAAAGAAAAUUCAAAUAAUUUUUAAAAUUAUUUUUUUGUAUUUUAUAAAAGAAAAACUGUAAUAUGGUCAAAAGAAAAAAAGAAAAACAAAUGUCUUUACAUUUUAAAAAUUCUAACAUGUAAAAAUUUCUAUUCUGUAUCAGGUAUAAUUGCACUUUACAUACAAAAAAACUUACAAAUAUGUUAAUUGACGAGUAUAGUAAGCUAUACAUAGCAAAUAUUCAUAAUUAUUUGAUUAAAUCUUUCAAAAUAACAUUAUAAGAGUUUAUUGGAACUAAAAAAACUGAAAUAAGUCCGUGCCAAAGCGUGCCGGUAGGAGAUCGUGCGUAUCCAACGGCACGCAAGCGUACCAUAUAUCGGCAUGAAAACGUGUCAGUACCGUACCAUGCCAGGCAGACAAUAGCACGCCCCCGUGCCACGACACUUUAAACCUUGGUGUACGUACCACAUACUCUUCCUUGCUUAGCAUCCAAGAAUCUUUACAUUUGUUCUAAUUAUGAUACAUACCUAUUCUAGACUUCUAGUACGAGUCAUGACAGACAGACUGACAACCAAACAUAAUUAACAUAUACACAAAAUUAUAGGUAGUGUAGCAUAAUUUGACCCUUGGUUUGACCUCGGAUGAAACUCUGAGUGGUGACCCUCUCCUUUAACUUGUUUGAGAUGAAUACUAAAAGAUCUGAGCUGAGAUUGAGAAAGGCAAGAUGCACACAGCCUUAUUCUAGUAUGUAGUAGUUUAAUCAAUUUGAAUCCUCACCACUGUGGCAUGUAGAUAUAGCCUUAACCAUUGAAAAGAAGCAUCCAGUAACACCUUUCAGAUAAAUUGAUUCAGUGUGACUGGUAGACACAAGCAUGUUGUACAAUUUCUACCAAGUAUAUUUAUAAGAGUGAUAAAGUAAGUUUAUAUAACUCUCAUCAAUAUCACAGAUCUACAGCAGUGAAAAUGGUUAUAACACAUGUUUUUUGAGCCAACGAGCUCUUGAGACGGUAACACAACAAAUAGUUUGGCGCCUCAAAUACUUGAAAAUAGACAGACAAUCUGGACUAGAGAAAAAGACCUACACAAAGUUAGACCAAAUGUCAAUAGUCAAUACCCCAUACUCCCAUAAUACUUGGAAUCUCAAAAUAUGACAGAGGACUGAUACUUAAGUAUAAAUAUGUGGAAAAAGCAAAGCUAGGUGAUAUGAGAUAGUUAAAAGAAGCUGAGAAAGGUGAAGAUAAAGAUAAGGCAUGUUGUACUCUCAUCUAAACUGCCUAUUGCAAAUGGUUAAAUGACCUUUGCAAAGUUAGUAAAGCUAGACAAAAGAAGAAUACAAACUCAAGUAAUAAAUAAUGAGGACAAAAUGAUUUAACAAAAGGAGUAAAUAUGACAGAAUGGCGGAGAGUGUAUUCUCACAGAAUACUCUCUUAAGUAAUCAAGAUAGUGCUGCGUAUUGCUAAAAGAGCAAAACAUAGAAAUAAAUAGUAGAAACAUCAACAAUUAAAUUUAAUAUAACUAUAUUGAGGCAAUUUUAGAGAAGACAAACUUGGAAACUCUGCGGAGACUGAUGGUAGUCAAAUUGAGGAUUGGAUGUCCUCACAACAUUUGAGAUUUAUUGAAUUAACUAAUCUAUCAAACAACAUUACAAACACAUAAAAGAGUAUGGGAGAACUGGAAAAAGAGCACUUGAGACCAAUAUACAAAACAAAGUCUGAUAUGUAGUGUUGUACAACUUACCGUCAAAUCAAACUUAUCAGUCAAACCACAAAAAAUCAUUAAAAGAAACUAAACAGAGAUUAAACCUUCAAAUCAAUUUAAUUUCCUGAAUGGUAGAUCAACUACGGGAAAAUUUUGCUUAUUAAGGAGAUUGACGAAGAAACAUAGGGAAUGGAAUUCUACUACAUGAAAUUUGUCAAUUUGAAACAAGGUUAUAAUAGGGUCAAUAUUAAAUUAUCAAAAUGGGUUUUUACAGAUCCAAGGAUAUCUACUUAACAUAUAGCUGUGAUGUAGGAUAUGCCUAACGGAAGUAAAGACUAGUAUAAGGAUGACUGGCAAAAAGUGGAACACAUCUUCUACCAAAUCAGGUGUUGCAUCAAGGUUUAACAUAAUGCCAUUAUUUGCACUUAAAAGCAUCAAAGAUGAGACCUCUUGUUGCAAGUUGUUUUCAGAUCAGACUAAUUUUAUCGAUUAUUUUAAGAUAGCAUUGAAUACUAUGACAAACUUAUGAAGGAGAAAUUAGAUGAUAAUUUUACUGAAAUACCUAGGUCCAAAAGUGCAUUUAUGGAUUACAUGUUUUUUUUUAUCAAGCUCCAAAUAUGAAGGAAAUUUACAUUGUGCGCAAGUACCUAAGAAGCAGCAUUCUCACUAUUUUUAUCUGUAGUUCAACAAGAAGAUUAAGAAACGAACAUACUGUGCAUUGAUCUAGAGCACAAUGGGAAAACAUAAAAUCUAGUUUACUGUGUAAUAAGUCAUAUUCACAUUUCACGAGAUUAGCCAUACUAUUUGCUUUCAAAUCUCACAUUUCAGCAGGACACAGAAAUUUAUGCCUUUUGCUUUAAAAAAUGUAUUAAAAGCACAUACAAAAGCUAUAAACAAUGUACCACAUCAUAGUUAAAAAACCAAGAAAGGUGAAGAAACAAAAUAGCCAAUUAUAGAUGCAUGAAAUUAAAAAUCAGCUUUGAUAAUCAAGUUUUUUCUAAGUCGCAUAACAACAUUCAGGCAUGAAUGGAGUAAAUAGCUAGUGCAUUCAGCAGCCGUACCUUGCAGAAACAGCAGGAGCAUUCUGCAGGCCAUGGACUCGGCAAUACCACUCUUCAUCUUCUCAACCAGAUCGCCGCAUUUCAAAUAUAAUUUCCUUCCUUUAGGAUCCUCACUCAGACGGAAGAUCUUACUAACAAAGUCGAGCUCUCGCACUAGAGCCUCCCUAUCCCAACCAGGAGCGCAUUGCUGGAACACAUCCUUAACCCACCCCAGCAGCUCCGACGUCCUCUGGCACGCCUGGCACCUGAACAACAUCUCCGGAUGGCUCACGCCGUUCUUGACCGACAGCCCAGUCCCGAUCUGGCCCACACGGAUCGCGCAGUCGGUGUGGGUCCAAUGGGAGCACUGGUCGCACCCAAUCCAACGGCAUGUGUUCACCUCGAAAUCGAAUUUGCUGCAAAUAACACACAUGCAGAGGUUGCAGAACCCGCUUCUACUAGAGCAUAUAUCGCACCUACACUCAUCCGCCGGUAGAGCACUUUGACAAGCAAUGUUCCUACACCGCUUAUACAAGAAGACCUCGAUAAGGCGGCUCUGAGGAAUGCUAACGCUGGGAUGCAAGAAAGCUUGAAUUCCUGUUUUAAUAGCAACAAGAAUCUCCAGCUGAACUCUGUGAGCCAUCACAAGGGUAUUGGCGGUCAAAUCGCCCCUCCCCUGCACAAGCUUCUGGAGGUACAAGUACUCCUCAAUGUUGUGGGACCCGCCCGUGCCCUCGAGAAUCAGCCUGAGCUCGGCCUUCAGCUCUUCAAGAAGCUCGUCGGGCAUAACCUUUAUUCGGUCGGCGAUCACCUCGACCCUUUCCCUGACGACCUCUCGGAGGGACAACUUCUCGGCAGCGGAAACCCGGCGGAUGACCUGCGGGUCGGGGCCGCCGUUCUCAACCUCCUUGUCCUUCUCGGCAUUCUUCAAAAUAGGGUCCGCGCGGUUGCUCGUUUCGAUCGGCCAGGUCUCGCGGGAGCUGGCGCUCUCGGUGGCGGAAUCGUGGCCCGGGUCGGAGUUCGACAUGCGUUCUUGGAUGUCCGGGGACCCGCCGGCAUCGGAAGAAGCCAAGGACAAGGAGGUUUGGAUCCCCGAAGGCCUCGUGGGAUGCUGCAGAGGAGGUAGCAUAGAUUGAGGUGGUUGUUGCUGGUGGAAAUUCGCACCGGACGAAGUACCCAUCCAGAGAUUUCAAUACCUAACCUGUACAAGGCAAUGUCUACAAGUUCAAUUCAUAUACUUGUGCACAACAAUUGUAACUAAAACUACUGAGAAUUAGUAACAGCAACAAAGAGAACAUCAAAUUAUGCAGCACACACCUAAACGGAUCACAAAUUUCUCAAAUUUAGAUUUUAAAACCCUAAUUCGGGGCAGCAAUCAUAACACUAGGAAUCAAUACAUCGAGAGGUAAAACGGGGAGAAAUCGUAGAGUCCAAAACCCUAGAAAUCGAACAAACAAGAGGUGGGAAUCGAAUUACUUCGAGGGAAUCAGAGACUAGAUCUCCCGCUUACCUGAGACUGAGAGAGAGGGAGAGAGAGAGGAGAGAAGGAUUAGUGUUAGGGUUAGGGUUAGGGUUUUUUUUUUUUCGUUUAGCUUUCCCUCUUUCCCUUCUUUCGCUUUCUCCCUCUCUUUCUCCGUCUCUUCGCAAAAAUAGACGGGAAUUAGACGGCGCAGUCCAACCGGGAGGACCGGACGAGAGGCGACUUCCCGAGCAGCCGUGCCGAAACAGAAAAGGUUAAAAUAAAAAAUAAAUAGAUAGUAAAAAUGACUAAAAGCUAAAAUACACACAACAAAAAAAAUUUUCUUAAAAUAAUUGUAUACUGCUUCCUGAAAAAAUGUCAAAUAGUAAAUAUAUUUUAAAAAAAUUUAGAUUAUCAAAUUUAUCCUUUUAAAAAAAAAUUUGUCCGUAAAAAUAUCCUUCUGUUAAUAAAAUUUAAAUAAUUAUGAGUUAGAAAAGAAAAAAGCUAAAUACAAUCGGCUAAAGAGUAAAAAUGACAGUUUUAUCUCUUAUAUAUAUUAUUUAUAUAUAUAUAUUCUAAUGUUGAGUCUCGUUACCUUCCUGGCUUUCUCACCUUCUAUUCUUUAUGCAUGGCGAUAGCAAGAUCUACAAUAGCGGCAACGUCGAAGUCGAGGCCCUUAACCGCGAUAAAAAUAUGGUAUGUCCGCACAUGCCACGGCGAAAGUGAGGAAAGAAAGGAAAAAAAAAAAGAGAAUUUUUUUAUAGAAACAAAUUUGUAAAGACAAAAUAGUCAUUUUACGCACUCAUUGUUAAAAAACUAAUGGCGAAUCAAACGAUAGAGACAUAUAUGAUUGAACCACAACUUUUAAAGAAAUAUAUUUGCAAAUCAAAAGACUUUUAAAGAGAUAAAUAUGAUAACUUAAGUUUUAUAUAGAUAUACUUGCUAUUUGAUAUAAAGAUCUGUAUAAAAUUAAUCAUUUUAAAAAAUAAUAAUAAUUUUACACCCUAAAAGAGGUUUAGGAUGUACACCCCUGGGUGUACUUAUGUGACUAGCGGUGAAGUGUCCACCUUUAGAUCAGUGAGGUGUAUAUAAACCUGGCAAACAUAUGGGUUGGGUAAACCGCGGACGGGUCAUUGUACCCACGGGUUACUUGAACAUGGAUAAAAUUUAUCCACAAAUUUUUGGGUAGCCAUUAUCUUUGCUCAUACCCACCCGCGGGUAAGUGGGUGGGUAUGCGGGUUACCCACAAUUGCUUUUCUUUUUUGCUCUUAUAUUUUUUAAAUGCAAAGAAUAUAAAUAAAUUUAAAAAACGUAAAAAAACUCAUUAUUUAAAAUAUCAUAACAUACAAUAAAAAAUACUUAAAGUCUUACAACAAAAAGAAUUCAUAAUAUAAAAGAUACGAGAUAAGAAAUUAGGCUUAGAAUUUUUAGAAUGGGCAAAUAAAAAUAUUUUUUAACUAAGAAAAUAUAUUUUAUAAUUAAAAAAUAUAUAUGCCGGUGCCCGUGGGUACUUGCGUGUUAUCCAAAAUGCCCACAACUUAAUAGGUACCUACCCGUUUUAUCCGUAAUUUUUUUGGGUUGAAAAAGUUAAUACCUGUACCCGCAAAUUUACAGAUAACCCAUGGGUAUUCGCUGCGGGUAUGGGUCGAGAUUGCCAGGUCUAGGUGUAUCCUGGGUGUACAACUAGCAUUGCUCUUUCUUCUUCUUUUUUUUUUACUUUCUCUUCUGACUUCUAAAAAUUUAUAUUUUAACGUUUUAGAAUUUCAGAAAUAGUUUUAGAAAACUACGGGGAUAACGGAGUGUAAAAUAAUCAAAUUAUUCUUACUUGUUCUAUAAAGAAAAAAAUAAUUUUUAAUAUUAUUUUGUUAUUUUUAAGAAUUUUUUUGGUAUAAUUUAUAAAAAGACAUGGACGGAAUGAUGAUGCAACCCUUCUGGAGGGAGGCUAAAUACAACAACUCGAAAUUUUAAGGGGAUAAAAUAUAGAUUUUUGAAGAUUAGGGGAAAAGUAAAUUAAUAGGUAUUUACAUAAAAAAUUUCUGUAUUUUAGCGAAAUAAUAUAAAAAAUAAAAAUGUAAAGACAUCCUCUUAACAAUAGAGCAUUUUGAAACAGACCCCUCAAGUUUUUAUUGGGGGGCUAAAUCAUAAAAGCUUUCUUGCACUUUUAACUCAUAUCUCAAUUACCUCAUGUAUCAAAAAUUACAUCAAUUAUCUUCUAUACUUUGUCGUUAUCUCAAAUAGGUCUAGUUAGUUGAGAUGACGGUUGAAUUCAAUUAUAAACUUUUAUAAAAACAAAUUUGGAGAUGUAAGUUAAUUAUAAGUAGUGCAAUAGAAUUGUACAAGUUGAAUAGAAUUGGCCAAUAUACUAUUAAUUUGAUAAUAUUAAUAAAAUGGAAGAUCUCCUUAUCUAAUUGUUUGUCUAUUUAUUGAAUUACAAAUUUAAAUAAAUGUUGAAAUGUGAAAUAAUGUAAUAUGCCAACUUAUUUUAGUAAUAAUUUACAAUCUAAUUUACUAAUAUUUUAAAAUUUUUGGAUCUAUUUAAGAUGGUGACAACAGGUACGGAGAUAAUUGACGUAAUUUUUAGUCCAAAAAAGUAAUUGAGACAAAGACUUAAUAUAAAAACUCAAAUAUAGAAACGCAAAACUAAGACAAACCCUAAAGUUCAGGGGUCUUUUAUAAUUUAGCGUUUUUUUUUUUUUUUUAAGACUUCCUUAGUUAAAUAUAAAAACUCAAAUAUACAAAAUUAGAAAUUGGGGAGAUCUCAAUAAAAAAAUAGUUGAAGGGGCUAUUUAAAAACUCAUACCUGAUUCUGAGAUAAGAUGCUUAGAAUAAUUUAUGUUCUGCUGUGAGAUAAAUUAACUAGUUAUAUUUUACAAAAUUUUCAUGUAAUGGUCAGAAGGAGGAGGAAUUCUACACUGUCACACCUGCACCAGGUCAUCAAUAAUAAGUUAAUCAUAUUUUUUCUUUUCAAACAAAAGUACAAUAAAAAUAUUUUUUUACAAUCAUGAUGAAAUACAUAUAUUUAUAAAAGGAGACAUUUAAUUGAUUUGUUACGUCACAUCAUCAAUAUACCCGUUGCAUUUUAAAAUUUUUUCCCAAGAAGCUAAAAAAAGACCCUUAAAAGUUUAAAAUUAUAUAAUAUUAUAGCAAAAGGUGAUAUUAUUUUUUCAGUAUAGAUAUUUUAAUUUCAUCUGAGGUCAAUCGAUUAAAAAAAGAUUAAAAAAAAAACAACAGUAAAGCCGGCGAGGGUAUUUUAAAAUGGAAAGAAAUGAAGAAAGGUUGGUCUCUGAACAUAGCUCUGUUUUUUUGGUGUACUUAACUUAUCGAAUUUUUUUUUAUAAAUAAUCCUAUUAAUUUUUAUAAUUAUAAAAAUAAUUUUUUUAAAAAGAAUAAUCUAUAAAAUAGACUCUAAAUAAUUAUAACUUCCUUUAUUAGAACUAGAAAGAAUAAAGUAGUAGAUGCAUUUACACUUUUCAAUAUCGUAAAAAUUAAUAAGAAAGCUGAAAAAAAAAAAGAAACGGUGAAUAAUCCGCUUUUAAAUUGGUUCCAUUUUAAAAGCGGUGAAUCAUUCACCGUUUUUUUAAGAUCAUAUUUAUAAAUAAAAAUUUAAAAGAUUUAUUUUUAGAAUAAAAUUUUAGGAAAAAACUAUUGCACUAAAAAAUCUAAAUUUAAAAAAAAUAAAAAUUGAGUAGUUAAAUCUUUGGACGUUGCAAAUCCAGGACGUGGACGCAAGGGCGAUGAUCUUAUCCUGGCCCACGCGGCCUCCACGCUCCUUCGUUUUUUUUUUAUUUUUUAUUCUGUUUCCAUUAAAGAAAAUAAAUACAUUAUACUAUUUGAGUAUUUGUUGCACUAUUUGAUAAAUAUAACGGACUGUAAAAUAAUUGUAUAUACUAGUAUAAAACCCGCACUUCACUAUAAAUAAAUAAAAUUUUAAUUAAAUAAUAUAUAAUAUUUAAAAUUUAAAAUUUGAAAUGUAAAUUUAAAAAUAUAACACAUUCGAAAAAAUCAUUGGCUUCUCAAAAAAAUUAAAAACAUAAUACAUCAAAAAAAAAAUUGUUAACUUCUCAAUAUAAGGUUCCGCCCUCCGCUGAGGAACAUCUUUAUCUCAUUAGCUGAUUCUUCAGUGAUAUAUCCCAAAUCUUCUGCACAGGAGAAGCCUCCGUGGCUGCUGCUGCCGCCGCUGCGCUCUCCCUUGCCGACCCCGGGCGGCGGCAAGAGAGAGAGGGGGCUAAGAUAGAGAGGCGAAGGAAAGAGAGAGAGAGAGUAGGGGAGAGGAGGAGAGAGAGAGCAAGAGGGAGUCAGUUGGUGAGAAUUUUCUUGGGAAGGAGAGAGCUGUCUUGAAAAAUCCCAAGAAUAUCUUAGAAAAGAGAGGAUUUUCUUAGAAAGGAUCUGGUCCAAGCUGGUCCACCCUUGGAAAGGAGCCAACAAGCUAAGGGAUUGCCACGUAUGCAUCAUAUUAUUUUUUUAUUCGUGAAAAAAUGAGCCAUAUCUGAAAAUUUUUUGAAAAAAAUCUAAGAACAAUUUUUUUAUUCGUAAAAAAGAAAAACCGCCACGUAUACAUUUAGAACUAUCAAUUAAUAUAUUUGUAUGGAUACUGUCAUGAUCAAAUAGUGUAACAUUCAAAAAUUUAUUGUACUGUUUGGCUGUAUGUUACAUUGUUUUAUAAUUUUUUGUGCUUAUUAAGUAAUAUAAUAUAUAGUUAAAUACUGAAAUGUUUUUGUUUUAUAAUUUAUUGUGCUUAUUAAGUAAUAUAAUAUAUAGUUAAAUACUGAAAUGUUUUUGUUUUAUAAUUUAUUGUGCUUAUUAAGUAAUAUAAUAUAUAGUUAAAUACUGAAAUGUUUUUGUUUUAUAAUUUAUUGUGCUUAUUAAGUAAUAUAAUAUAUAGUUAAAUACUGAAACGUUUUUAUUUUUUUUACGGAGAAAGAAAGAAAGAAGAAGAAUCAUCGCUAUCACUAUCGCAUUCGCAUCUGCAACCACAACAAUGACAGUGGAGGAGACGAGAUCGUCGCUGUCACAUUCACAUCUCGAAUCUGCAACGACAACGGCGACGAUGGAAGAGAAGGGAGAGGAAAGAGGAGAAAAGAGAUAAAGGAAAGAUAGAAUGAGGAUCACAAUAGCACCCUAGCGAAGGAGAUGAGAGAGGAACAUUUUGAUCAGAUUUUUAAAAACCUAGGCUAAAACUGCACAAUUAAAUAAACAAAUCCUAAUUUUGCAUAAUGCAAAACCAAUGAAUAUUUUUAUGCAAAAACACCUUUUUUUCUAAAAAAAUAUUGAUAGAUGUACUUCAAUUAAAUUUAUAAAAAAAAAAAAAACCCAAAAAAUAAAGAUAGCAGAGGGACUUAAUGCAAAACAACUAUAUUUGAAUGGUCCGGGUAAAUUUUUACCUAAACUUUAUUAAAAAGAAACUCGCAUAAGAAUAUAGCCAUAUAGGUCUAUGCUAGAUAGUCUAUGCUAGAUAUAAUUAUAUUGAUCAUAGCAUUACACCAACCUUGGGAAGUGUUUCUCAACCCUAAAAAUAUUGUACAUGUACACAUUGAUCAUAAGAUUACAAGGUAAAUGCAACUUCAAUGACAGCUUUAAUAAAAAAAAAAAAAAAAGGAGAACCAAGAACAAGCUUCCUAUACUACGCAAAAGAUCCAAAUUGAACAUUUCCAGGAUAGUGUAGCUCAGCCUCUCUAUAAAGCACUGCAAUAAUUAUAUAGUACAAGACUAUACAAGUUGCCCAGAUCACUUCCCAUGUUUUUAUUGUAACUUAAACAAUCAGAAGAUAUAUUUAAGUUGCAAGCAGUUAUACAGAGAGAGAGAGAGAGAGAGAGAGAGAGAUUACCCUCGGAUAAUCUCACUCAAGGACCCAACACUAAAUUCCCCGCGCUAGUAUAAUACAUGUUAGCCGAAUGAUUCAUCGGUGUUGCUUUAAAGGUGAAACCCUCACCGUCGUCUUCUCUAGACCCAUAUAGUGUCGAUUGAUGAUGUUGUAUUUGGUUUGAUCCUAAGGAUUGUAUCUCGUUUCCUGCGUUCCCAUGGUUAGGGUUUAUACCAACACCAAGGUCGAGGCUGACUGUGUCACUCCCCGCUAGUUGGGUGUACUGAUGGGAGGUAACCCUAGGGUUUCCUAUGCUUAAUAUAGAAGAGAGAGCAGCAGGCAUACGGUUGCUGAUAAGGUUUGAACUGUUUGUCACCAUCGGAAUCGGGGCGGAGAUCUCAUGGCUGGCGUUCCUUGCAGCGGGUACGUCGUGGUUGUGCUUGCCCUCAUAUGUGGUGAUUACUGCCUUUGGAUCGUGCGACGCCCUCUCAACAUGUUUCCUGACAGGGCAUCCUAUAUUCGUACAUUUGUAAUAACUCCUGCAAUCCAGAAAAUUAUAGGAAAAAAGGUAAUUAAAACUACAAAUUUUGAAUCGCUAACAGAUUACACGAAUCAAGUGGAAUUAGGGCAGUGUCCUUUCACUUUUGCUCAAAUAAGAGAAAUACAGGACAAAAACCAUGAAUUCUAGUAUGAAUACAGAGAACAAGUUCAAAGUCUUCGGUUAUAAAAUUGGAGGAAAUGCCAGAAAAAUAUGAACCAGGCUACUAUCUUUUUCAAUCAACUAUCAACAUAGAUAACUUAGGAAAUAAGUUAUAUAAAUAGCAGCCAAUGCUCCAGCAGUGAGUCUGGCAUGUUAUCCCAUAGUCCGUAAUCUAUACUGUGGAUCUUGAGUUGAUCUAUUUGCCAAUCCAUAAAUAACUCGUUUGAGUUUCUAUUAUUUGUGAUUUGGUACUCCUGUCUUAUUCAAUGAGGUAGGAAUAUAGUGCUAUACAAGAAAAGCAAGUGAGCAACAAAUGAGAGAUUCAGGCUUCCAGCUCUACAGUUAGAUCUCUAGAUUCUACCAAUGAUUUCAUCAGAGAUGUCAAAGAUUCGAGGAAAUAAACAGUAUUCCCAUCACAUGUAUAAGCAUCUAGUGUUGCAGAGUGUGAGGAAUGCUUUGAGGCUAACAUUUCUAGCAAUUUUUCAGGUCCAAAGGCUUGAGUCCAAAUAACCGAACUGAAAUAGUCGAUUUUAUGGGUCAACUAAACAAAUUCGUAGAAUUUUGAACGUGAAUCUCCGGGUUCCAACAUACUAAGCAGAACAAUCAGGAAGGCAUUCACUAGGAGGCGUGAUAUACAGACUUGAGGAACAAAAGAUAUACAAAUUUCAGUGGUUAAGUCCCCUCCAUGAAGAAAUAGCUGUUGAAUAUCAGCACAUUUUCAUGCCUAAAAUGAACUUCUGGCCCCAAAAGCAAAAGCUCCAAUUUGGUUGGGUUAGGGUUUUGGCUUCAUAAACAAUUUGGCGUAGCAAGAUAAUUGUAAUUAUCUAGUUCCAACAUUCAAGUUCCCAGUAAGAUAUCUGAACUUUGUUCUUUCAUCUAGAAAGUAAUAAUCAUCUACCCACUUUACAAGCCAGGUUUACGAUAAAAGCUAGUCGGGCAAAUUUUGAAUAAAUGCGAACGGCACAUCAUAUUACUAUAGUGGUUUUCUAUUUCCAACAAGGAAAUCAUGUUUAAAACUUCAUAAUUAAAAUUAAAAAUAAAAAGCAAUAGGCCAAUUAUUGUUUUGCUAAAUAAAAGAAGGGAAAACUUCAAAAAACCCCCCUGUGGUUUCGCACUUUUUCAUUUUACUACCCUGUGGUUUAAAAUGUAUCAAGUUAGUACCCUGUGGUUUCGCACUUUCUCACUUUAGUACCCUGUGGUUUAAAGUGUAUCAAUUAGUACCCUGUGGUUUAAAGUGUAUCAAGUUAAUACUAUGUGGUUUUAUUUUUAUAUCAAAUUAGUACCCUGUGGUUUUAUUUUUGCAUCAAGUUAGUACCCUGUAGUUUUUAAACCACAGGGUACUAAAGUGAGAAAGUGCGAAACCACAGGGUACUAACUUGAUAUACUUUAAACCACAGGGUACUAAAGUGAGAAAGUGCGAAACCACAGGGUACUAAAGUGAGAAAAUGCGAAACCAUAAGGUACUAACUUGAUACACUUUAAACCACAGGAUACUAAAGUGAAAAAGUGCAAAACCACAGGAUACUAAAGUGAAAAAGUACAAAACCUCAGGGUACUAACUUGAUACACUUUAAACCACAGGGUACUAAAGUGAGAAAAAGUGAAACCACAAGGGAGGUAUUUGAAGUUUUCCCAUAAAAGAAACAAAUAUUGAACAGCAAGAAGAUAUUGGCGAAAAAGACACACACCUUGGAUUAGGAUUUCCUUUCACAACUUUCUGCCCAUAUUUGCGCCAUCGGUACCCAUCGUCCAAGAUAUCGACUUCACUCACAGUUUGCACAACCACACGUGGUUCACGGUUAGGUUUACCAAUUGUGGCAGCAUCGAUAGUUGUUAUAUCCAUUUUCCUAUUUAAAGAUAUAUUAUGAAUUAGCACCUGAUCUAAAUUUUGUUAGGAAAAGAAUUCUUGGACUGAAAAUCAAGACCUGCGUUUUGACUCUGGAUCAUCAUCAUCAGCAACUUCAUCAAUGGUGUUGGACUGUCCACAGCCAACAUCAACUUCAUCCUCACUGGCUGAGGCAGGAGAUAGCUCAGGAGUAACAAUAGGGUUGACAUGAUUACAAAGGUGGUCGAGAGCAUUCGACGACUUAUCUGCAGAUAGCACUUGUUAUGAAAAAUGAGAAAAGAUUUACAUACCCACCCCUGUAAAAUCAUCUAUUUACAUAUAUACCCUUGUAAACUCAUAAUUUUGUAUAUGCUUUCAAAUACUUGAUUUACAUGCUACCAUCGUACCUACAACAAUGUUUCCUUUCAAACAAAUUUCAAUUAAUAUAAAACCAAAAACGGUAUUUUUGUACGAAUUACAUUUUCAAGGGAUAUAUAUGAAAAUUUAGAUGUUGAAGGGGUAUAUUAACCUAUGCGUCAUGUAUACGGACAAGGGACAUGACACGACUCGAACAAAGCAACUUGAUAGCACCAAAAAAAAUGAGCAAAACGGUCACGGCAAGUAUACGACUAAUAAAACAUACUAUUUUUAAUAAAAUAUAGUAUUAGAUAAAAUUAAUUUCAAGAAAGCAAUUAAAAAAAUUAAGGUUUCAUAUUAAAUUAAGAUAAAAAAUAUAUAUAUAUAUAAACCUAAUUUAAAAAAACCUAAUUCAAAACAAAAAAUCAUAAUGUAAAAAAAGAAAAAUAACCCUCAUUCAAAAAAAAAAAAUUAUAACCCUAGGAAGAGAGAGAGAGAGAAAAAGAGAGAGAGAGUGAGAGUACUUUUGAAAGAACUGAGAAGAGGGUAGGUGAUUUUUUAAAAUUUGGCUAGGGCUACUAUACUCUUUUGAGUAUAGAACCCUUCAUACUCAUAAGUUGUUUUCAAUGAUGGAACUUCCGAAUUGACGAUCCACUCCGUUAAAUAUGAUCUAGAAUAUUUAAAACUUCUAGAAAAUAAAUUUCAUAAUUUUUCGAAAUCAUAAUAAAGUUCAUCAAGCGGGUAUAAAAUGAACGGUCAAAAUCGAACGACGUCUUAAAAAUGGAUGAUCAGAUCCUUCAAUUUAAGAUCGGAGUUAUUGAUCUUUAUCUAUGUAGUGAAUAGAAUUUUCUAUCAAAAAUUCAACCGAUUUCGAUUCUUUUACACCGUUAAACUAGCAAAAUCUCAUACCGGCCAUUAAAAAUUGUCAAUUUUGUGACCUUUUGAUCAUAAGGUAGAUAAUGUCGAAAAAUUAUAAAAUUUGAUUUCUAAACAUUUUAAAUGCUCUAAAUAAUGUUUAACGGUGUGGAUCAUCGAUUCGGAAACUCUAUCAUCGAAAAUAACUUACGAGUACGAGAGUGAUAGUACUCAUAAGAGUAUAGUAGCCGGACUCUAAAAAUUUUCAUAAAAGUUUUUUUUUUUUUCCUUUGCUUAAAUGGGUCUCAGCCUAGACUCUGUCAGUGACGCAUAGAUAUUAACAUACAAGCCCCAAAAACAUUACAGGAUUUGACAUAUAUAUACCCCAAUAAAAUCUAAAUGUAUCACCAAAAAACCUUUUUGUGAGUUAGGGGUUGAUCAUCAAAUUCUUAGGGGAAGUUAGUUUCUUAUUAGGAAAUGAGUUUUUAAAAGAGAAUUUUCGUUAGCAAAUGCACGCAUAUAUAUAUAUAUCCAUUAUAUAUAUAGUAUAUAUAUAUAUUAUAUAUAUACAUAUAUAUAUAUAAUAUAUAUGUAUAAUAUAUACAUAUAUUGUUAUACAUAUAUACAUAUAUUAUACAUAAUAACAUAGAUAUAUACAAACAUAUAUAAUUAUCAUAUAUAACAUAUAAUAUAAUAUAUACAUAGUAUAUCAUAUAAUAUAUAUUAUACAUAUAUAUAUACAUACUAUACAUAUAAUAUUAUACAUAUAUACAUAUAUAUAUAAACAAUAUAAUAUACAUAUAUACAUAUAUAUAAUACAUAUAUAUAUAUAAUACAUAUAUACAUAUAUAUAUACAUAUAUACAAUAUAUACACAUUAUCAUAUAUAUAUAUAUAUACAUAUAUACUAUAUCAUAUAUAUAUAUAUAUAUAUAUUUCAAAAAGUAUAUAUAUAUUAUAUAUAUAGAGUCAGCUACUAUCCUAUAAUAGGAUUGGAGCCAUUGUCCUAUCAAGUCGUUUUGAUUGAUCGAACUUCAAUUGAUAAUGGCACCGUUAAAAUUGAUCUACACAAUUAGAAAUGUUUAGAAACAAAUUUUGUAAUAUUUAAAAAUCAUUAUCAAGUUCAUCUUAAGAGUUAAAAAAUGAACGGUCAUAAAUGAAUAACUUCUUAAAAUAGAGGUUAGACUUUCUCAUUCAUAAUCAGAGUUAUCAAACAUUAUCUAAGUAGUAUAAAGAAUUUUCUAUCAAAAAUUUAAGCAAUUGAUGCUCUACAACCGUUAAACAAGCAACGCUCAUAUAAGCCGUCAAAAAUUUGUCAUUUACGACACUUGAUCACAUGUAAAUAAUUUUUAAAAUUUAUGAAAAUUUAAUUUCUAGAUAUUUCAAAUCUCUAGAUCAACUUCAAGCCCCUCGAUCAUCGAUUCGGGAAUCUCGAUCAUACAAAAACAAUUAAUAGACAAUGCUACUCAUUCUAUUAAUAGGAUAGUAGCUCUAGCCUAUAUAUAUAUACACAUAUAUAUAUAUAUAUAUAUAUAUAUGUUCAAAAAUCAACUUUUGAAAGGUAUAUAUGAAAACUCGGAUUUGCAGAGAUACAUAUGCAAAUAGAAAAUCUUGCAGGAACAAAUAUUCCCAUAAACAAACCAUAAUGCGUCAAAAGGAAAUGAUUAAUCUGUCAUAGAAAAAGCCUAUGAUAAUUUCUGACCUUCAGCAUUCACGAGACUGUCAGCUUUUUCUUCUCCUUGGCUAGAGAGAACACCCACUGCCGACCGGCGGUUAGGCUGGGGUUUAGGAUGAUCAUGUUUGCCUUUAUAGAUGAUUUCAGUGAUCUGCCCAUCAUGGGAUCGUUCCAACUGCUUUCUUACAUUGCAAUUAGGAUGUGUGCAUUUGUAAUAACUCCUAGGGUUUUCACUUCCUUUAACAUGUUUCUGCCCGUAUUUGCGCCAGUUAUAGCCAUCCUCUGCAGACUUUUCAAGUACAGGCAAUGGAGCAGAUCCGCUCAGAUUGGACUGUAGUUCCUGCAUGGUCUUAUCUGAACUGUCUAUUUGCUGUAGCUCAUCACAAGCUAUUUCGGAGUGCACCCCAGCCUUUAAAGUGAUAUUUUCAAUAGGUUGGGUUAAUGCAGUUUGAGGAAUUACUGGGGCAGAUUUAUGAUUCUGAACUUGACUUUGAAUCUGUACAGAAGCCUCGCACUCUUCUAACUUACCAUCAGCAGAAUCCUGCAAUGAAGGAACAAAAACAUAAGACAAAGACACCAUUAAUGCCGUACUCAACUACUCAUGGUAGUUUCGGCAAAAAGAACCAAUCUGUUUCACAUCAGUUCUUGUACCGACUAGAACGCAGAUCCACAACAAACUUGCCAACCAGUUUUGGUUAGUUUAGAAGAAAGAUAAUAGAUUUUGUCUAGUUUCUUUUGGCAAAAACUAUUCUUUUUCUUUAUAAUUGGCUGUCUACUGUGCACACACAUGGAAAUUAAUGAGGUGUCUUCUUUGACAACUCUUUCCUAUUAUGGAAAAAAGGGGAUAAGUAGGCUGUUUAAAUUAUUUUGAAGGCACAGAACCAUAUAGGAGAAUUCUUCAUGUCAUAGUAAAUCCCACUGCAAAAUCUAGAUCAAAUCCAGAAUAUAGCUUCAAAUUUGAAUAUAUUUAUUCGUCGAUAUCAACUUUUUGUUAUUGACAAAGAUUUUCACACCCAAAUUUCAAAUCCCAAAGGUAAAUGUCCAUGCAACCUUAUUCAUGAACUUGUCUGUAUCUAACCAUGCAAAGGAAGCAAAGAUUUACUACACCUAAUAAUUACUUGACAUAAUUUUUUUCCAUCAAAAUCUGCUUAUUUUAAAUUUGUCUUCAAUGAUACUAGUUCAAUUAUAUUUUAAACAAGCAUAGACUAAUCUAAAUUCUACAUGUAAGACAAUAUAUCAUUGGAUAGCUACGUUACUCUCGUAAUAUUUUGUUAACUUGUCAAUGCAUUAAUUUCCAUUGUAGUAUAAAUUUUAUGAUUAAUUUAUCAAAUUUCCUUCCUUAUAUUUUAGGGGGAGGGGGAAUGAAAUACUAGUAACUAGCAUCUUUCAUUCAAUAACAACAUAUUCUCAACUAAUUCCAAAAUAUAAUUUGAUUUCCUAUUUUCUCGAAUUCUUGAUUUUGGGAAGAUCACCAAUCAGAAACAGCCAAGUUUAGGUCAGAGAUCCCAACAGUGUCAAAAUGUUUCUGUUAGUUAAGUUGCAAAAUUCAAGAACAGUUAUGGAAAGGAAGCAAGAAAGGAAUGAGAGAAGGCAGAUGAUAGAUCCGUCUUACUCUAAAAGAAGCCCUUGGAGUGUAAAGGAUGAAAGAAAAACAUGAAAAUUAAAAAACAACUGUUUCUUUUGAAGAUUAAUAAGAUGGAAAAUGUUACUCACAAUAAAGUAAUCAAACUACUUAUUCCUUCCUUUACAAACAGGACAUAGAAUUAGAAGUCCAUUUAUGAAAGAGGUCCAUUUAUAGAAGAGUAAUAGAUAGUAUAGAUAGUUCAACUCCUCAAUUGUAGCUGUGCAUACAGAAAAGCUAGGUCCAUGAAACAGAAAUACGCAUCGUGAAUAAACCGCCAAGAAGGCAAAGCAAACCAAAUAGAUGCCAAAUGUGAUACCAUAGCAGAUUAUCCAAACAUUGCAGAAAUGUAUCCAAGCACACCAACAGCUUGGCGGAGUCCUAUAAAGUACCUAUAUUGUGGCAUGGCAAUGGCAGCUGUGGAGGUAACAAUUGAGAGGUAUGUGGUGCAAAUGACAAAAAUAGGUAUUUUAGAGUACGUAGCAGAAACAAUAGUCAAAAGAGAAGAAAGAAUAGCUUUUGUAGAAAAUGUAGUGUCAACAAUAGUCAAAAAGAGAAGAAAGAACUACAGUUGACAAAGGCUGAAAGGUUAAGUUUCUUGAAUAAAUCCCAUUAAAAGCGGAGUAUGAUUUUAAAACUAUAAAAGAUGUUGGUCACGGGUUACAAAUUACACGCAAGACAAUGAGACAUACCUACUUGUUGUUACCACUGCAAGUAAGCAAGUUUUACCCUUCAGAUAAUCUGGUGCCUUAGGUUAUACUCAGACUAAAGCAGUGAGCAGCAACGCGUUUUGCAGGCAAAGAUUUCUUCUAGCUAAGAUAUGCUAACACAGACACUGACUUCGUACUAGUGGGCUAGAUAAACGUACUCCAGCUAUUCAAGGUUAAGAAACAGGGCAAACACAAAUUAUUGAAUGGAUUCUGAGAAUACAUGCUUAGUCCAGUAACCGCUAUUUGCUUUAGCCUAAAUAAUAAUAUCCAUAGAUUCCAAAUGGACAACUACAUAAUGACAUCAAAGAAGUUCUAACUAGAAAAUUUACCAAAAUAUAUCAACAACUUUAGAAACUAUAGAAGAAAGAAAGUUACUUGAGGUAGCAAUGAAGGCACUGCUGAGUGCAAAGAGGAUCCGGCAUGAAGCUUAAAUUCAAAAUCUCCUGAACUCUUAUCACUGUAUACACUAUUAGAAGUCUCCCUUGGAGAAGAUAGUUUGCUCGAAUGAACAGAUCUAUUCAUCAUAUAAGAUAUGUUCAAGGUUCCAGUAGUUGGGGAGGGCUCAGCCUGUCAAAAAAACACAACAAGCAGGUAAAUUGCAAGAUCUGUAAUGUACUCCUCAAGAAAAGUAAGAAAAAUUUUGGAACCUUCUAUGACCCAUGCCUGCUGCCUUUACCAUAUAUCUAAAUGAUUGAAGUACGAUAAUAUAUCGCAUGUGAGCAAAACCUUAGAUGGGACUGGCUUGGCACAAAGCAAAAAUACCACACAACUGUAUUAUAGAUUGCUUUUUUGCUAACCGAAGCAAGAAAAGUUAUUCUUUUCAGGCCCUUGACAACAUACUGAAAUUCAUUAAACAGGAGAUCAAUUAACAAAAUAGCCAUUAGGGUAAUGUAGCAGAAGCAACAAAAAUCAUUCUCUUUAGAGGCCUUCGAAACCAUACUGACACUUAGAAAAUUGGUAAAUCGAUCAGUAAAAUAACACUUAGAGUAAUGCCCCUAAAUCAAAUUCCUUGAUAAUAUUACCAAGUCUCUCCUCUUAAGCACCAUUUUCCUCUUCGCCGUCUUCCUUUUUCAUAUACCAAACUUCCUCAUAAACUGCCCCACCAAAGCUACAUGUCUUAUUCAAUAUACAAUCUCAAAAACACAAAUAAUAGAGAAUAAGUAUAUAACUUGGUGAGUCUACAAUCAUAAUCAAAACAGAUUCCCAAGCAAAAUGAGAUCAAACAUAUAAAAUAAGCAGAUCACUAACAAAAAGGUGGGCUAUGGAGGGACAUCUCUAUCAUAAGAGGGGGGACAAAAAAGGCGGUGUGUGUCUAGGAGAAAGAUUCCCAACCCAAGCCAAUAAACAAAGAACAUGUUUUGUUUAGAAUUUCGCAUGACAUACACCCGCAUAAAGGUAGGAACAGAAGAGAAUAAAGCGAGCAUCAGAGUUCAAGCCACAUCUUAAUGCACUUCCACCAACUUUUUUGUCUUUUAUUGCUCUCCUCCACUUCGUCCCCUCACAGGAAAUUUUGAGAACAGCUCAACAAUCUUACAUAAUUUUACACGGACAAAACAAAUUCACAUAUUACAACAGGAAUUAUUAGGCAACGUAAAGUUAAUGAAACAUCUCACUAAUUUAAUUAUGGCAUCGCGAAGUUGUACACUUGAAGUGUCAUUUUAGGGGACGCAGAUCCUCAGUAUGAUUAUACUGAUAAAAAUAGCCCUAAAAUAGCAUGAUUUAAGACAAACCAUACUGUAACUUGAUCGGAAAAAAAGAGAAGUGAUGAAACAGAUCAAAUUUAGCAUCAAAAUUAAGGGGUAAAAAAGGGCGAAAGAGAGAUCGAGAACGAGAGAACGGGGUCAGAUCUCGUGCCUUGAUGUUGGUUAGGAGGACGGGGGAUUCGAGGAGGGCGGAGGGGCUGAACCCUUGGGGGAUGGUGAGGCACGGCGCCCGCGUGGCGAUGGGGAGGCGGCCCGGGGACAUCGCCUUGUACCUCGCCGCGCUCGCCGCCGCAAGCGAUGAAACCCUAGGAUGCACCGCCGCCCCCUCCCCCACCGAUCCGCUGCCGCCGCCUCCAGCGGCGAGACCCUCCGAUCCGAGCUCCGGCGCCGGCGUAGCUCCCUCCCGCCCCCCGCAGGCGAGAUCGCCGGCGUUCGCCGGAGAUUCCUCCAUUACUGGAUCUCGAGAUCGAGAUCGAGAGAGAGAGAGAGAUAGAGUGUGUGGAGAGUGGAGCAGAGGCGGCGAAGAGAGAUGUUAUAGGAGGAAGAAGAAGAAGAGGGGAGCAGGUGGGUUUCGGUUUUGGGAGAUCGUAAGAUGGGGGUACUUUGGGAAUUUCACUAUUUAGGUAGUGUGUUUUGGUUCCUUUGGUCAGUAACCACAUCUCGAAAUUUAACGAUGAACCGAGUUCACCACGUCAUCUGUAGACCGUUCCAGUUCCCAACCAUAUCGUCCUUAGGGGAGGACGAACUUUAAAUACUGGUUCACAAAUGACCUGGUGAACCAUGUUCCCCCAAUAUUCCUGAUAAAAUCUGGCCGUUCAAAAUUCUUUAGUGCAACCUUUUAAUUCUUUAUUAACAAAUGUACGGAGAUCCCUUUUCAUAAAAAUGUACGGAGACCUUCUAACUACAGCUGUCUUUGAAAUCGACCCUCAACUUUUUUUUUUUGGCAACUUAUAAUUUUAUUUAUUUAAAAAUAAUAAAACUUUAUUGAAUUUAAUAAAAUUAUUAAUUAAUAUUUUUUUUAAAAAAAAGUUUAAUAUUGUUGUCUAAAAUCACUUAAUUACGGGAAUUUUAGAAGCUGAAAGAAUCUUAUACAAAAAUCGUUGAGGGGUCUCCUUGCAUUUUAUUACCUUAUUUUCCUCCUUUGUUCUAUGACAUGUGGGACCCACAAUGACACGUCACACUGCGUUGUCGCCGUUACACCGAAAUCGAUCUCCGUGGCUCCGUGACACAGUUGACUCGGGAGUCGGGAGCGCUCUGUAAUGGUGGCGGUUGUUAAAUGACGAUAAUACCCCUCCAAGUCGAAGCGAGCACGAAACCGGUGGGAUUUGUGAAAUGACGAUAAUGCCCCUACUUGUCCCGUUCCGAUAGGGCUGUAGCCAAUGGGCGCACGCGGUUCAUGGACUGGAGGAGUAGAGAACUAAAGCCACACGCAAAUGGAUUUGGAUCGGUAGAGUUUUCGCUUUGAUCCGUUUUAAAUUAUCAAUUAAAUAAAAAUAAAAAAUAAAAAAAAAUAUUUUAAAUUCGUCCUGAUUUAUUAAUGGAGUAUUCGAUUUGCCCAAAAAAUUUGAAAAAAUAUUUUAGAAAAAAUUCCUUUUUCAGUAUUUCGGCUAAUUUUUUUAUAUUAAUAAAAAUUAAUAUUUUUAUUUUUAAAUUUUUUUAGAAAAAUAAAAAUACUAGUUUUUCAUCAAAUUUAGAAAUAAGUUUUUUAUUAAAUUAAAGACAGAAAAUUGAAAAAACAAAUAUUGCCUGGAAAAAUUUUUCUCGAAAAAAAAUUUUUUUUUUUGAGAAAUCAAACGGCUCGUAAGAAAAUAAAGUAAAAGAUGAAAAAUUACUUUUUUUUUUUUCUUUGAAUAUGUCAAAAGUUUAAUUCUGUCCCAACUCGCCGUCAACUAAGCAGUAAGCAGAGAUAAUGUAUAAAUAAAAGAUUAAACUAUUUGGCAAAAUUAUCCUGUUUGCCUUCCUAUUAAAGAAUUGCUUUUUCAUAUUAACGUGUUGUUUAAUUUGUAGAAUUACAACGCAAAAGAAAUUAAAGUGCUUAUAUACAAAAUUAUAAAAUAUAUUAUUGGGUAUUAAGUAAUUCGAUAUUGCUCCUAGGAAAAAAUGAUUGUACGAUUCAUAAAAACAGUAUCUAAAAUUUAAUAAUUUUGUAACUAAAUUUUUUAGAAUAUCAUAAAAUUAUAUUCGAUGAAAUUGACGUUUAAUUUCAGGAAUCGAACGUAAGAUUUUGGAGUGCAAUAUACGAAAUGUAUUUAUACGAUUCUUCGUUACAAGACGGAGCGGAUUAUGAGAUGUAUUUUUUAAUCCGUCACAGAUUCGAGGUGGAAGGUGGGGCGGGAUUUUACUAGUCGGGACGGGAGGCUGGCCCCCAGAUCCACCCCGACUAGCAAAUCAUGUAAUGAGCAAUUUACUCAUUAGAUGUUAUCCUUGUAUAUAAAAUUUCUGCAUAUAAAAUUUACUUAUGUCUUCGGGGCAGAUCUGGGGAUGGGAACCCCGCCCCGCCUCCCGCNNNNNNNNNNNNNNNNNNCCCCGCCAACUAAUAUUUUUUAUAAAAUUAUAAUAUUAUUAAUAUUUUAUAAAAUAUAAAAUAAUAAUUUUUAAUAAUAUUAUAUAUAUAAUUUAACAAUAUCAAUUAUAAAAAUCAAAAAUAUCAAUCACAAUUCAAAAAAAAAUUCAAAAGUUUCAAAUAUAUUAGAAAAAAGAGUACUAACUUGUAUUUUAAACGUUUUUAUAAAUACAUUAUUUUUUAGAAAUAUUUUUUAAAAAUAUAAAUAAUUUUCGAGGCGGAUUCGGGGCGGAUCAUGGCAGGGCGAAUUCGGGGCGGAUUCGGAGUGGGUCAAAAUUUUCCCCGUUUCCUGCUCCGAAUUCGUCUCGGAUCGUAAAAUUUACCCUGUUUCCCACCCCGAAUCCGUUUCGAAUUGUAAAAUUUACCUCGUUCCCCGUCCUGAAUCUGUUUAUUUUCUCCUAUUUACUGCCCCCGUUGGAACAGAUCGGGACGGGAGCUCUACCAAUCCGGAUCCGUUUGCAUCCUAGAUGUUGCAAGGGCAGAGAGAUGAGAGCCCUUUGAGCCCUCAUCUGUGGGUAUGUAAGGCCUCGUCGAAGCCUAAGUCCACUAGUUCUUACCAAAUAUAUUAAAUUAAUAUUUUAUUUUAAAUUUAACUAAAUUGAAUACAUUUUAAUUCAAAAUUCAUACAAAUGUCAUCUAAUUAGUAAAUUUUUUAUUUAUUAUUAACUUUUUAAGUAUAAUACAUCAAAUUACUAAAAAUGCAUAACAAGCAGAUAUUAUUUACCUAAUAUACAAUAUAAAAAAUACAUAUUUUAAAAACAUUUGAUCAAAUUAAAAAUAUAUCAAAGACAUCAAAAUUUGCAUUAUAUAUAUAUAUAUAUAUAUAUAUAUAUAUAUAUAUAUAUAUAUAUAUAUAAUAUUAUAUGUUAUAUAUUUGACAGAAGGAAUUUUUCCUCUGUUUUCUUAAGAGCAAAACGCUCGUCAUUACCACCCUAUUCGGGGCUAGGGCCUAGGGAUGUCAAUAUGUUGGAUUCAGGGUGGAUUUUCAAAAACCUCAAUAUGAAUCUGACUCCAAACACGAAAUUGGAAUCUGAAUCCGAACUGACAGAUUUUAAAAAUUCACAUACAAAUCGAAAUCCGACCAAAAAUUCAAACUCAAAACAAUUAUUUUUUUUUCAAUAUUUCAAAAUAUAUUACAUUAAUUUUUUUUUAAGAGAUAGAUAGCAUGCUACCCACUUCGUUUAUUUCAUUUAGAAAUAAACUUAGCUGGAAAUGUGAAUCAACAAAUAUUCAAACUUGGGACCUCAAGUAUCAACCACCAAGUCCUUUGCCACUUGCGCUAAGGACGGUCGGUUUAAAUUUAAAAUUUUAAAAUACAAAUUCACAUAUAACAUCAAAUUUUUAUAUACAUAUUAUAUAUAAUGUAAAAUAAAUUCGGGUAUGAGUCAGAUUCGGGUCAAGUUCGGAUUCGGGUCGAAUACAGUCAAAAUCCAUAUCCGAAUUCAUAUCCGUUGAGUUUUUAUUUUUGAUAUUCAGAUUCAAAACCAUAUUUGUUUAGUAUCGAUAUAUCCGCUAUGUUCAGGUUCGGAUUCAAAUAAAAUUUUCGGUAUCUGUACCCAUUGACAUCCCUAUUCGGGGUGGAUUCUAGUAGAGGCAGGGGUGGAAACGAGCCGGGCUCGAGCGAGCUUUCCUUAGCUCAAAUUUGGCUUGAAAUUAAUUUCGAGCCUAAAUUUAAGCUCAAGCUUGGAUUGAAAUUAAUUCGAGCAGAGCUCGAGCGAGCCUAAUUUCGAGUCGAGCGAGCUCGAGCCCUAAACGAGCCGCUUGAAAUUCUCAACAUCAUAUGAUCAAUAGUUUAAUUUGUAUAGAACAUUAUCUAUAAUUUGAUACAAAAAAUUUGUCUAAUAGUUCAAAGUAUAAAAUAAUUAUAUAAAAUAUAGUAUUAUAAUAUGAAAAAAAAAUUAUGAGUUGAAUAUCUAAACUUUUCAGCCUCACAUAUCUUUUCUUCCACCUUCAAUCUCUAUAUUAUUUAUUUUUAUUUAUGCAGUCAAAAAUAAAUAAAUUAUAUAGAUAAAUAUUGGAUUAAACUAUCCAAUCAUAUAUAACUAAAAUUAAAAUUUCUGUACAUUUCGCAGCAUAUAAUUUAGCUACGCUAGCGGCACGACGAUAGUUGUGAUAUCUUGGUGGCUUGGAGGGCUUCAUUGGCCACAUAGGUGUGAGAGACGAAAAGAGAAGAGAGAAACAUAUUGAAUUAGAGCUAUGCUGAAGAAAAGAAAGAAAAUGUUAAUUUAGUAAAAUUUUGCCUUUUAUUUGUCUUAUUGGGUUUGUUUUUAUGGGAGCAACAUAUUGAGCCCAUUUUAAUAAAUCAGAUAUUCAGUCUCAGCUAUAUAAAUUAAAAUAUAUGUAUAUUUAUAUAUUUUUUGAUAUAUAUAUAUAUAUAUAUCUAUAUAGUAUUAAUAUAUAUAGCUGAGGACACUAUACUUUUGGUAUAGACCCGCCUUAUUACUAUAUGUAUUGAUGGGAUUGUGUGGUUAGGAUGAUGGCGGGGCGCUACUUAAAAUGAAAGUGAGUGCAUCUUAGGGUUAAUUGGGUGUUGGUUAAUAGUCUGAUUCUAACGGGAUGAAAUGGAUUAAUGGAAUUAAAUCUAAGGGUCGAAAUUAUGAGUAUAAUGAGCAUAUCUAAAAUUAUAGUAGCCGAUUAUUAUAUUAUAAUAUAUAUAUAUUAUAUAUAUAUAGACAGGCUGUGUUGUGCUCAGGAUGACGGAGGCUCGUGCUCCUGAGCACUGUUUUCGAUGGAUGAGCUUCGAAUCGCCGAUCGGCAUCGUUAACUUUGAUCUAGCGUAUAUUUAAAGUUUUCUAGAAAUAAUUUUUGCGAUUUCAGAUAUCAUUUUACCUGCAAUCGAAAGGAUUCAAAAUCAAUAAUUUAACGCGCUGAAAUAAAAAAUCCUAUAAAAGUGCGUGAUAUGCACUAAAUUUUCGUACGAAUAUAUGAUUUGUUGUAGUGAGUAUAAAAAUUUUCUAUCAAAUUUAUCUUGAUUUUAAUACUUCUACACUUUUAACUUGAAAAACUGCAGUAUAACAUUAAAUUAUUAGAUUUUGGAAUCUUGUCGUACUAGGUAAAUGAUAUCAGAAAGAUCGCAAAAUGUUUCUAGAAACUUCAAAUAGCAAUAGAUCAAGUCUAACGGAGCCGGAUGUCAAUUCAAAUUCCAAUUCAUCGAAGCGGAGUAGGAGCACGGAGGCUCUUCCGUGUCUGGGAGCAGUCAGCUGAUUAUUAUACUAUAUCUAUAUAUAUAUAUAUAUAUAUAGUGGUAGAACUACUAUGCUAUGGAAAAUAUAGAGGAUUUGAUAUUUUUGAAUUUUUGACUCUUUGAUUAAGAAUUGUAUGGUUGGGAUGAUUGCGGUCUCCCAUAGGAUUAAAUAAUAUCCCUAAGAUUGAGUGGUCCCUAUAAGAUAAUAAUAGUAUUAAUUCAAAGAAAUGAUUAGUUGAUCUAAAAAUCAAAAAAUCGAAAGCACCAGAUCCUCUAUACUUUCGAUAACAGUGUAUAUAUAUUCGAGCUUUUCGAGCCUAAUUCGAACGAGCCAAGUAAUACUCAAGCUCGGCUUGAAAUGAAUUUCGAGCCUUAUUUUUUGUUCAAGCUCGGCUCAUUUAAUUUCGAGUCGAGCUCGAGCGAACCAAAUAUCGAGUCAAACGCGAAUCGAACACGAGUUGGCUCGCUCAUUUGCCAGCCCUAAGUAGAGCCCUAAAUUCGCUGAAAAAGUUAUUGUGAAAGAAACCACUAGUUUUCUGUAAUAAAUAAACAAACUUGUGCAAAAUUGAAUUUGGAUAAAUCUAAUUUCAUGUCUAAUUAAUUUUGCCUGUAUACCCUAAUGCAUACAUAUUUCAGAAAAAGGUUGAUCAAUUAAUAGAUUCUCCAGUUAAAAAUUAGGUCAAUCAAAUAAAUAAUUGGACAUAACCUGGGUUCUUUUCAUCCCUAAGAACAAAAAAGAUCAUAGAGUUGCUCGGUCCCUACUCUUUAUCCGCUUUUUUUUUUUUUUUUUUUAUCUCACUUUUUAACUUCUAAUUUUCUUGCAAUUAAGUCUUUGUUUUCAUUAAUUUUCUAGCAUUAAUAGGUCAGUUGAAUUUAGUGAAAGUUACUACGUGACGAGAUCAAGCGCUAACAUGGUGAAAAUUGUUUAGGAUGUUUUUAUUAGAGUUAACAAAAUAUUCUAUAACGAAAACAUAGUGAAAAAAUUAAUAAUCAUUAGAAACAUAAACUAUAAGAUAAUUAAUUAGGUAAUCGAUUUUUUUGCGAGUUUGGUCGGCCGAGUAUUCGCUUCUCUUCAUCUCUAGUUAUGCAUUUAAUUUUUCCAACCGUAUUUCAAAUUUAGGUUAAAGAUCAAUACAGGUUCUUAUUUAUUUAUUUAUUUAUUUAUUUUUGAAAGAUAGGUAGCAUAUUAUCCGCUUCGUUUAUUUCAUUUAGAAAUAAAUUUAGCUGAAAAUGUGAAUCAACUAAGAUUCAAACUUAGGUCGGGUACCAACCACCAAGCCCUUUACUACUUACUCUAGAGACGGUCGAUAAUACAUGUGAGAAUGAUCGUGUCUUUUUUUAGGGUGUGCAUUCAUUAUGUUGUUAAUUAACAGCGGAAUCAACCCUAACUGUAGGGAUUUUUGAAAAUGCAUUUCCAGGUUUGGUAGGGGAGGGGUCCGUUUUACGAAUUGAAUUCACUUGUAACUUGUAAGUUGGAUAAAGCCAAAUCACUCAAUUAAGUUGAGGGGUAAUUAAAAACUUCAAUAGUUCAGGAGUAAUUUGAAAAUAUUCUAUAGUUCACUCAAUUAAGUUGAGGACUAGUUUCAAAAUAUUCUAUAGUUCAGGGGGCUCCAUACAUAUUUACCUAGCUAUGCUUCUGCUAACUUUCCAACUAUAAAUACCAUCCCUCUCAUUCGAUUUUUUUGCAAGCAAUCCAGUUUCUCCUCACUCCUCAAACUCUAGAGAGAGAGAGAGAGAGAGAGAGAGAGAGACCGUGAGAGGCCGAACCCCGGAGAAUCCCCAACCCUACUUCCCCAAAUCCCCCUCGAAAUCGCAUCUCCCCAACCAUUCCGAUCCCAGUCCCUGCCACACCCUCGUCGUCCUCCUCCGAUUCGGCGCCGAUUAGGGUUUCGAAAGCUGCAUAAUGGGUUUGCUCUUCGUGGAGUCGCUCCCCGACCAGGAACUGUUCAGGUGCGGAUUGUGCGAGGUCGUUAUCGCUUCCGCCGACGCGAUCAUGUCCACGAACUUCACCGGCCGCUUCGGCGCCGCUUGCCUCAUGGACAGAGUGUAUGUGCUCUCCCUCCUCUACCAGCUACAAUGGUGUUUGGGAUCGUGGUGGUAUAAUCUUCGGAAGCUCGCAUGUAAUGGAUGAUGUGAUAUUGUUGAAUCUUGAUUUGAUUUGGUAUGAUUUUCCUCAAAAUCUUGAGGAUUGUGAAUUUUACUGAAUUUUAAACGCCUUUGUGUGGUAUUUAUGUGUUCUUUAGAGUUAUCCAUACUACUGGUUGAUUGUUGUCGCAUUUGAGGUGAUGCUUGGGAUCAUGGUGAUCUAUUCUCUUGAUUUUCUUUCGAGUAAUGCUACCUCUUCCCUAGAAAUUCAAUCAAGUUCGGUUGAUGAGUCGGAUUUCCAAAAUGGAAUCUUAAGAGGGCAUUAUGUUUGAAAAGUUGAACCACUAGCUAACUGCAAUUUUGUAAACGUUGACUCAUCAACUGCAUUUGAAGAUACAUUGUAAGGUACCUAUAGCAUUGUUUAUUUCAUUAAUAGACAAAAUGGAGAAUUUGUUAGGUUCUUAAAUCUUGAUUGGAUAUGGUAUCUAUGAAAUAUGAAACAUUCACUAAUCUUGAAGUUAAUAGUUACAUACUGAACUCUGCAAUAUCUUUUGGGAUGCUUAUGUGAUUGUCUCUAUGUUAGGGCCCGUUUGGCCUAGAUUCAGAAAAAAACAAUUUCUACACAAUUGAUUUUAGUUUGGAGAAUUGAUUUUGGUUAAAAGCUGUAGAGUAUUUAGUUGAGUUUAGAUGAAAAGCGAUUUUGUAAAGUUAUUUAACAAAAAAAUUUGAUGUUUGGAAAAUAGUAAAUGGAAAAUAAUAAACUUUUUACUGAAUUUUAUUGUAAAAUAAUUGAAAUUUUCAAUUUAAAUUAAAAUUUGAAUUUGAUUUGAAUUUAAAUUUAAUUUUAAAUUUUAAAUUUGCACGAUAUUUUAAAAUUUGAUAUUUUAAUUUAAAAUAUAAAUUUGGAACUUAAAAAUUAAAAUUUAAAAUUUGAAUUUCUAAAUAUAAAAUUAAAAUUUCAAUUAGAAAUUUAAAAUCUAAAUUUGAUAUUUGAAAUAUAAAUUUAAAAUUUAAAAUUUUAAAUAUAAAUUUUAAAAUUUGAAAUUAAAAUUUCAAAAUUUAAAAUUUAAAAUUUGAAUUUUAAAAAUUUGAAAUUUAAAAUUUGAAAAUUGAAAUUUAAAAAUUAAUAUUUAUUAUUUUAGGUUUAAAAUUUAAAAUUUAAAUCUUAAAUUCUAAAAUUUUAAAAUCUAAAUUUUAUCUUAAAUCUUAAAUUUGAAAAUUGAAAAGUUGAAUUUUGAAAUUUAUAUUUGAAAUUUAAUAUCAAAUUUAAAAUGUUAAAAUUUGAAAUUUAAAAGUUAAAAUUUGAAAAUUAAAAAUUCAAAUAUAAGAUUUAAAACUAAAAAUUAAAAUUUGAAUUUAAAUUUAAAAUUUGAAUCUAAAAUAAGGAUAAAAAAUUAAAAUUUGAGUCCAAAAUCAGAGUUAGAUUUCAAGAAAAAUGAUCCUAAAAAUUAGAAUUAGAUUUUGAAAACGAGAUUGCCAUACACUCUAUUGAGCCAAAAAUCAUUUUUAGGCCAAAAAUCACUUUUCAAAAGUUAUGCCAAACACCCACUUAAUGUUUUAUUUCAGAAUUCUUUGAUCUUUAGGUCUGAUUGUUACUAUUCAAUUAUGUGUAGUUUAGCGAAAAAUUUUUCACAGAUACAAUGAUGUAAAAUAUACUGUAGAAAAUGCUCUCCAUAAUGAUUUAAGUAUGGCAGUGUUGGAAUUAAGAGAGAGAGAGUGUCUACCUCUGAUCGACUAAGCCAUUUAUCAUUCUGAUUCACUCUGUUAUACAUAGAGAGCCAUAAUCCUAUAUUUAUUGAAGCCAUAGAAAUUAGAACAAAGAACUUUUUUGUGCAACAGACGGGUAACCUAUCAUUGCCUGUAUCAUUCUGAUUUGCUCUUUUAUACAUAGAGAGCCAUAAUCCUAUAUUUAUUGAAGCCAUAGAAAUUAGAACAAAGAACAUUUUAUGUACAACAUAUAGGUAACCUAUCAUUGCCUAGUGUAGACUAAGUAGCAGCAAUAUGGAAUUCUAAUGACGGAUAUUAUCCGUAAACUAUAUAUUUUCGCUGGGCUAUCACUUUAGUAUAGCUCAUGACUAAGGGGUGUAGGCCAUGGAGUCGCAAUGAUUCAUACCUCGAAAACAAUUAAUGAGGCGCUAUCUUCAUUGCUUAUUUAAUAUCCACAAAGGAAGUCCAAUUUUCACUUUGUUUGAUGGUUUGAGAUGUCUAUUUUUUAGUUCCUUUGGUGGUUUGAGAUGUUAAAUUUGCAGGUAUAGUAUAAUCUGUCGCUGUCGCUUACACAUAGUGAUGGAAGUCAUUAACCUCUUGACAAACAUUGGAGCGUCCAAUGAUCCCUCAAUCUAUGAACUACAAUCAAUUUAUUGAAUUCCAUUUUUCCCUUUCUUCAUAUUUUGUCUUUUGUUAUACCAAUAUAUAAAUUUUAUGCUAAGGAUUAUCUAUUAUUACUUCUCAUAUGUCAGUUAAAUUAUUUCCAUAAACGUAUAUUUCAACCAAGUGCAUAUAAGAAGCUCAUUUUAUUGAACCUCAAUUGCUAUAUAUUUUAACUUCAAAAUUUUCUCAAAAUGCCAAAAUUUGAAUUUAAAAUAUGACACUCAAACACAAAAAAGCCAAGUUGGAUUAUGAUGUGAGAUAAUCUUUCGUAGUGCAUAGUAGGAGCUUGAUCUUUCUUCAACAUCUUGAAUUUUGGCUUCCUUAUGUCUUUCUAUUCUCAGGAUUAAGGCUUCAUCAUUUUUCAGUCAGCAGCACAGCAAGAUGAUAAUGUUUGCUAUAGCCUGAAACAAGGAUAAAAAUUUAUUUGGAUGCCAUAUUUUACUUGGUUUACAUUUUGUUUUUAGUUGUUAAACUCUUUCAAUUUGUUCUAUCUUCUUGGGCAGUGUGAAGCUUUGAUGUACUUUUAUUAUUAUAUUGAAGUGUGAAAGAACAUUAUACUUUUGUUAAUCUUAUAAGUUUGCUGCAGCAUUAUGGCAUGCUUUUUUGAAAUCUUAUAUCACGAGGAACGAAAUCUCAUUUUCAAUUAAGGGAAUGGCUUAAUGAGUGUGUUGAUUUCUUAUGUCCAUCAUUAGGUCGUUAUACUGCUGAUGCACUUUAUGUAACAUAUCAUUAAUCAGAAGUUUGUUAGUUUUCUGUAGGUUUUCAGUUUGAGUAUUUGUGGUGUAAUUUCAGAGUGAAUACAACCUCGAGCCAAACUGAGACUAAGCAAAUGUUGACUGGCACUUAUGACGUGAGCGACAUCCAUUGCAGCUCUUGCCAACAAUUGCUUGGCUGGAGAUAUGUAAGUCAAGAGUCCGAUUACUCUUUUAUGAAUUUUUCGCAUAUAUACCCCCUCUAGAUAUGCAGAAUUUCCCUUGUUUGCAUGUGUCACCUGCUGGGCUUUAUGCAAAAUUUUUUUUUGCAUAUACCCUAACAGACGGAUGAAUGCAAAUAAAUACUCUUUAGGGGCAGCUGUACAAAUUUUAAACUUACGGGGUAUUUGUAUAGUUUUGUGUAUUUUACAAGGUAACAUGUUGGCAAUCCUUUAUUUCUUAUACGUACUCUUUUGAGAACCCAUUUUCAUGCUUUCGAUGCCUAAUUGAUGAAAUUGAUAUUAAGAUUUUGAUUAGGGUUAAUUUUCCCUAACCUCAAAGAGAUUUAUUUAUAUCAAGGAGUUUUUACAGUAAAGUCCCUAACAUAAUGUAAAAUUACAAAACUACAAAAGUAAUGCAAAAUUAUAAAAGAAUAGUCAACACUAAUCAUUGAUGAAAGACAUAGAAGCUCUCUCUAAUUGUGUCAAUAUUUAUUCUAUUGUACAAUGUCAAAAAAAGUUAGAGGUCAUUUAUGUGUUGAAGUUGGAAUUGAUAUAGGAUAAUAUUUCACCAUUGUUGCUUUGAAUUUGUUAGAAUCAAAGGUUGUGUUGCCCAGCCUAUUUGGCUGCAUUGUUGGCAUAUUGGUGUUGGCACAAUGUCAGGAUGGAUCCUUGUCAAUUUAGUUUGGUUUUGGAAGUCCUUUGACAAAAGAAAUCACUUGGACUCUCUUUCAAUUCUCUCUUCUCCUUCCUUAAUUCUCCUACUCUUAAAGCAAUUGAAAGGAAGGUCAGGCCUUCACCAAGAUAGAUCAUGGUAAACUUUGAAGAUUUGUAGAUAUUUCUUGUGGGUUGUUUAUUUCGCUAUAUAUGUGUAAGAAAGUAUGACCAUUUUCAUGCAUAGAAACCCUUUAUCUAGGGUUUGUUACGUUUGCUGAGUAGGUAGGAUCUGCCUCGUUAUUGGGAGGAAUUUUCAUUUGCUGCAUUUUCUUUUCUUUUUUUUUGGUUCCGAACAAAUUUGAAUAUUUAAGUUGGAAAAAAAAAAUUUGGUUUGGCAUUGGACGUUAGUAGAUCUUCUAGAGGAACUAAAACUUGUUGAGGCCCAGUCAUGAAUUUCAAUUAGCAGUACACCUUUUUUAAGCAAAAAAAUUGCUUUUGUAUCAUUUUAUGCAAUUUUUUCCAUCUUUUGGUCAAUUCUGGGAAAUAUAGUUAAAAAAUUGGUAAAAUUGGAGUAAAGCAUGUUGGCUUAUUAAAAGAGGCCUUGUAUGCUUUUCCCUUCAACUAUCAUGUAAUACUAUGAUUUUGCAAUGAAAAUUAAUUCUUAUAUUAUCUUUUUAAUUGCAGAAAUAUGUGAAAAGUUUGUUGAGUGAAAUUCAAAAAAAUUUGCGUAAAAUAAUGAUGUUGAGAAGAAAAAUUCAAAAAUAAUUGCCAUGUAAGUUUCAUUGAGUUAAGGCAUUCAUUCAUUGUAAAGAUCAAAUAUCUAGAUAUCAUAGUCUCUUUCAUCAUAUAGCAUUUUUUCACGAGUAAAUAUUAGGAAACAUGAUAAUACAUAAUUAGUUCUAUAUACAGCUAGAAAAGUAUAGCGCUUCAAUCAAAUUUGAGCUCCAGCUAAAUUUUUAUAGUAAUUAGAAGCCAUUAGGAACUUACAUCCAUCCAAAAGGGUAUCAAAACUCUUGUGCCAAAAGGGUUUCAACCCGUGUAGUGGGGGUAAUCUGCAUCCCAAAUGUUAGGGUAGCCUGUCUUGAAGAGUGUACUCGGACCACAAACGUGAGCCUUGGUUGGAAUUUUGUUGUUUCUUGUUAGGAAUGUAGUUAAUGUGCACGUUUGUGCAACCGGAUUUAGCAUCAUUGACAAUAUAGCAGAUAUCAUACUUCUAAACAGCCUUAGAAGUUUGUGAGAUGAUAUCAUUUCAAUUUUCUGUCUCUUUGCAUCUCUAUGCACCAUAGAGGCCAUACUUUUAUCUCUUUCCAGGUUUAACUGGUUAGUGUGAAUUUGUUCCUUAGCUUGAGCUGUUGAGACGUGCUCUUUUCAUGUGGAUGCCUUUCAAAUCUAUAUAUGAAAAAGCAUGCUUGUUAAGAAAACAUCCUUUUUAUUAGGUUCUUGUAACGGAAAAGUUUUUCAAUUUUGUCGAUGGUGUUCGCCUGGACACAUCUUGAAAGUGCAAAUCUGGAACAAUCAUGAAAGCUUAGAAGCCAAAGUUUUGAGCAUCGAAUGAAAGCAUCUAAAUACAAGCUUAGCCUAUUUUGUAAAUGCGAAACAGAAACCAUCUUGAGAGCAUGUACUCUUUUGUACAUCAUUUCAUUCUUAACUUGUUGGAGAUUCCUUUUUCUUUCAUGCGUAUAUUAUCUACCAUAUAGUUAGCUUUUUUCUUCUAUCUAUCUGACAUUUUUCUGUACUCUAAUCAUUUUUGGCACGUAUUUAGCCAUUUAUUGAGCCCCACGCUACUCUACAGGACCGUGCAUUCAGUGAAGACCAAAAAUUCAAGGAAGGGAAGUAUGUUUUGGAGUUGAGUAGAGUAGUAAAACAUGGCUGGUAAUGCAUAUAGGCGGUGCUAGAGAUGAAGCUCGAAGUCUAUGUGUCGGCGUUGUGGUAGAGAAUUGGCAAUUGCCGACAUGAACUUGUGAGCAAAUACGAUUUUUCAUAGUUUUUGUUGACUUGGACUAAGAUUUAGAGUUCAGAUUGUUGCUUGGCUAAAACGGGAGGAGAAACUGAACUGAAGGUUGUCUUGGCUUGAUGUGCUACUGCAUUUGGUAGCGAAUUAGUUAGUAUUGGAGCCAAACCCUGAUGCUUGAUAUGGACAUCUAAUUCAGUGUCCUAAAGAAGAAGUUCUCUUUGACUAGAACUGUUGCUCAAAACAAGCUCUAACAGCUUUUGUUGUCUAAAACCCUCAAAUAGCUAUUGGUUUUAGCUUAAGCAGAGGCUUAUAGCGACGGGCUAACUUUGUUUGCUUGCUCCAACCAGAAACUUUUUACUUUUUAUUUGUUGAGCAUCUGAUCUCUUUUCUUGGAGGAAGCUGUUCUAAAAGUUGGGGCCAAACAAGCAGAAAGAAUGUGACUUUGGGAUUGAAUCUUUUCAUGUGUAUGAGAUUUGGUCACCAUGUUUCGGAUGGAAAGGUCUGCGGAAAGUACUGUCAAAACAAGCUGCCUUAAGUGUAGAUUUUGCCAUUUGAGAAAGCUUUUAGAGUUAAGAAGGGCCUACAAAUCAUAACUAAUGAUUCAGUUUUCUAAAUUCACAAUUAAAAAAAAAGAUCAAAUAACUAUAAUUGCGGAUUAAAUUGCAAUUUUCUAGCUUCAUUUUAUUUUCACUUGUAGCUUUUCCUUCUGAAGCAGGUUGUAAAUUUUGAUUAAAUGUGCUUUCUUUUCUUUUACCUUUUUUUCGGGGAGUUUCAGUUAGUUCGGAUAUACUUUUCUUUCUAACUAUUAUUAGUUUUUUUGGGAUAUGUUAGCAUUAUGAUCGAGACAUUAUUCUACUUCUGUAUAUUUUGUUCCAGUUUUGUUUUGUUAUGUUUGAAAUUUGUAGUCUAAGCAUAAACUAUGUUUCGAUUAUGACUGUGCGAGGGGGUGUGUCAAUAUUUAAGCCAUUCCAAUGUAGAUGUAAUUUUAGAAAUGUGUAUGUAUUAUAAUGAGAGGAUCAUGAUAAAUUUUAUUAUGGAAUCAAAUAUGAUAACGUCAUAUCUAGUAAUUUGAGAUAAUAUUAGUCCCUUAACCAAACGCAGGAAUAAUAUAUUCCUAGAUAUCUGGAUGAAGUAAUCCAGAUUAUGGGAAUAUUAACAAAUCUGGGAAUAUUAACAAUUCUUAAUAGUCUGGCAUGAUGAGAACCUUAUAGUUAUCUACUUCUAUAUUAUUGCUUUCAAAGUCUCGAUUUUUGCAAACUUGCUAAUGAAUCUUCUUCCUUUUGCCCUGUUUUUUCCCAAAAUUUUGGAUUCUAUUUAGCUUUUUUUUUUUUUUUUGAAAUAGGUAGCACGCUACCCGCUUCAUUUAUUUCAUUUAGAAAUAAACUUAGUUGGAAAUAUGAAUCAACUAGGAUUCGAACUUGGGUCUCGGAUAUCAACCAUCAAGCUCUUUGCUACUUGCUCUAGGGACGAUUGGUCGGAUUCUACUUAGCUAUUGCUAUAGAGAAGGAUUUGUUAUACUGUUAAUUUUGUCUCUCGAUUUUUGUCUUUCAAGUGAACAUAGUUUAAUGGUAUGCGAUUUCUCCUUCAAGUUUCAGUUCAUGGGUUCCUAAUUGUGUGGAUUUUGGUGCUGUACAGAGAAAUGCAUCCAUUUUUAGAAUAACAAAUAAAUAAGAACUUUGUCUUGGUGCCAAAACAAGUUGCACGGGAAUAACAAGGGGUAGAAAUUGUUUAGGUGGUUGCCAAAGUCCACUUUGUCAUUUGCAGUUCAAGCCGACAUAGUCGCCAAUCAUUUUGCCAUUAUUAAUCCUAAUAAGAUAUAAAGAAAAGCGUGUAUUGAAACGUUCAUUAAAAUUCCGGCCUUCUGGGUUUGUCCUCGGAUGCCGACAGCGGUGGAUGUUUGAAAUUUCUAAACCAAAUAAUCGAUAAGACGUCAUUUUUUCUAAAAAUGUUAUUUUCGGUGUUUUAUUUUUGACUCACCAAAUAUGUUUUUGGUGGGAAUAGUUUGCCUAGGAUCUCAAAAGUGAUUUUAGGUUCAAAAAUAAUUUUCGGCUCAAUAGAGUAUUUGAUAAUAUUAUUUUUCUGAUUUUAAUUUUUAUAAUCAAUUUUUUGGUAUUCGAGGUCUAAAAUCGAAAGCAGACAAAAUCUGCUUCUUGAAAUAUGAUUCAAAUUUUGAACUCGAAUUUAAAAUUUUUAUUUUAAUUUUAGGUUAAAAUUUUAAAUUUAAAUUCAAAUUUAAAUUUAAAAUUUAAAAUUUAUAUUUGAAUUUUAGAAUUUUAAAUUUUAAUUUUUGAAUUUUAAAUUGCAGAAUUUUAAAUUUUAAAUUUAGAUAUUAGAUUUUAUAUCUCAAAUUUUAAAUUUUGAUUUUAAAAUUUAAGACAAAAUUUAAAAUUAUAAGUUUUGAUUUUUCAAAUUACAAAUUUUAAAUUUUAAAAAUUCAAAAUUUAAAUUUUAAUUAAAUUGUUAGUUUUAAAUUUUAAUAUUCAAAUUUUAAAUUUCAAAUUUUGAUUUUGUAUUUGAAAUUGAAAACAUAAAUUUAGAUUUAAAAUUUUAAAUUUCAAAUUUUCAAUUAUCAAAUUUAUAUUUUAAAUUAAAUAUCAAAAUUUAAAAUUUUGUGCAAAGUUAUAAUUUAAAAUUUAAAUUUAAAUUCAAAUUUUAAUUUUUAAAUAAAAUUUAGUAAAAAAAAAUUUAUUAUAUGCAAAUAUCAAAAAGAAUUUGCUAAAUGUUUUUAAAAAAUCACCUGAGAAAUAUCGCCUUCUAUAUAAACUCUGCCCCAAAUAUUCUACAGUUUUUAGCUAAAAUUAAUUCUUCAAAUUAAAAUCAAUGUAGAAAUUAUAUUUUUAGAAUUUAAGUCUAGCGGGCCUCUUGCUGUGUCAAUUUCGUUAUUUUCUUUGUCGCUCAGUUUCUGCUGGCACAGUUGCCUCGUGCCCUCGUCCGUUUUGCAACUAUUCAGCUAAUGGAGACGAAGAAAAGGGUCCAUUUGGAACACUUUUAUCAGAGUAGUGGCCUUUCGGGCAUGAGCAUUUAAAAUGCAUGAAAAAUUAGAAAUUGAAAUUCGUGUUUUUUAAUAUCAUUCACAUGGUGAUAUCAAAUUUAAUAACUCUUUAAGAUAUCAUUUGGUUCGGGGAUAAGCAAAAAGUGGCUAUUUCAGGAACAGAUAUAAAUUGAGCUAUAAACGGGGAUUAGAUCAAUUUUGCGUUCUGAUGAAAAUUGAGUUAUUUCUGAGAAUAAAAAAAAUAGCGUUUGGUUAGAUAAGAUGGAAUAAUUAAGAAGGAUAGUGGGUUUUAUAAAUAAAAAGUAAUGAUAUUAUUCUCUUAUUAUAUUUGAAUUUGAAUUUUUAAAAUUUUAUAUUUAUAUUUUUAAAUUUAAAAUUUUAACUUGAAAUUUUAAAAUUUGAAAUUUAAAAUCUCAAAUUUUAAAUUCAAAAUUUUAAAUUUUAAAAUUCAAACUUUAAAUUUAAGAUCAAAUUUAAAUUUGAAAAAUAUAAAAUAUAAAAUUUUAAAUUUCAAAAAUUNUUUAAAUAUAAAUAAUAUGUAUUAAUAUAGUACAAUUAAUAAUUUUAUAAUAAAAAUAAUGUAUUAUAAUAUAUAACAUAUUAUAUUUAUUUAAUUUAGUUUUAAUUCAAUUUAUAAUUUUAAUUAAGAUUGAAAUUAAGUAUUGGAAUAGUACUAUUCCACCAAAAUGAUGGAAUAGCAAAUUUCUUGCUAUUCCGGGAUAAUCGGGAAUAGCAAGAUUUGACCGGGAUAAAAUAUCCCGAUCAAAUUUCACCCCGUUUGGCCGAAUAGCGGGGAUAACGAAAGUUAUCUCUGCUUAUCCCUCGAACCAAACGGCCAGUGUCAAACAAUCCCGAUUAAUUAAAUUUUCAAUAAAAAAAGGUUUUUUUUUAAAAAAAAUAAAUCUAGAUUAUGUUUGGCACCCCUAAACUCAAAAUUGAGAAUUUCCAACCUCUACUUUUGGGACCUAUUUAAAUUGAGAAUCAUCAAAAAAAAAAAAAAGCUAUUACGUAAAAUAGAAUUCGGGCGGAACAUAUUUCAUAUAUUUCUGAUUCUUUGUUUUUCGCUAUAAGUACACCAAAAAAUAUCAUACAUGUAAUUUUCUCGCAAUUCCAAAUGCAACUUUAUAAGGUACUUGGAUUCAAUUCAAAAAAAUGUGAUAUAUGUAAUGAAAUCUAUUCAAUCUAAAAACUUAAAAAUAGUCGGUCUGGAUCUACUAGCAUAUAUCAAUUCUUUGCUUUUUUAUUAAUCCUCAUCCUAUGUGGGACUAUUUAUAUGUGAGCUCUAGCGUGCAUAGAUUAAAAUAAUAAAAAAGUAUUAACACUCUAAAAACAAAUAAGAUUGGUCAAAACUGUAAAACUAUUAAACAAAAAAUAGAUCCAAACCUUUUGCUUUCUUCACAUACAAAUGUGGCCCCAACAAUCCCGCAUCCAACGGCUAGCAACAGAGGCUCUGUCAAACUAUUUAUUUUUUGGAUUGAGACUCAAUCAACUUCUCAUUGUUAGAAUAAAUAUUCUAGUUAAACAAAUUUAGAAGUUUAUCAAAUUCAUUGAUAAUUUUACUUAAAUUUAAUAAUCUAAUCACUUUUUAAUAAAAUAAAAUUGUGUGAAUAGUCAAAAACUAUUAGAGUUAUUAAAUUUGGUAAAUUUUUAACUUAACUUAAUUAUAAAAACUCAAAUAGCAAAAAUUAGAAGUUGAGAGAGUUUCCAUAAAAAAAAAUAAAAUAAAAGUGGAGGGGUGUAUUUUAGGAUGACCUAUAGUUGAGGAGGUCUCCAUACACUUUUGCCAAAAAAAAUUUUGGCCUGUUCCUCAAAUAAGAAAUACUAAAGUUUACAACCCAAAAGAGCUGUAAUUACAAUCCCCUGUGGGCCCGGUUUGGUUCGGCGGAUAAGCGAGGAUAACGAAAGUUAUUCCCGCUAUUCCGCCAAACGGAAUCAUUUUUUACCGAAAUAUUUUAUUCCGGUCAAAGCUUGCUAUUCCCGGUUAUUCUGGAAUAGCAAGCUUUUUACUAUUCCACCAUUUUGGUGGAAUAGUGCUAUUAAAAAAAAAAAAAAGGAAAAAAGUUGGAUUAGAAAGGUAGGAUUACAACCCAAAUGGGUUGUAGUCCAAACACUCCUGAUCCCAAAUGGGUUGUAUUCCAGGUGAAGUUUUUAAGUUAAUUUUUUUAUUUUUUGACAAGGCAACUUAAAAAAAAAAAAAAAAGGGAAAAAAGUUGGAUUAGAAAGGUAGGAUUACAACCCAAAUGGGUUGUAGUCCUAACACUCCUGAUCUCAAAUGAAUUAAAAUAUAUAUAUAUAUAUAUAUAUAUAUAUAUAUAUAUAUACACAGAGAGCCUUGAACUUUAUCUCAUUUGUAAAUAACCACAUGAACUUUUUAGUUCUAAACAUAAUAAAAUAGUUCAAUUGAUAUUUCUUUUGAAUUACAAUAACGGCAUGUUUGGUUCACCUAUUUUAAACUAUAGAAUUAAAAUAAAAUUUAUUGAUUCCGAUAGUUGUUGUUUGUUUUAUAAGAACCAAAUUUUGUUUCUCAUUCCACUCUAUAAUGAAAAUGACUCAAUUCAUUUAUGACUCAAUUCAGCAUUUCGCACUUUCUUACUUUAGUUUCCUGUGGUUUCGCACUUUCUCACUUUAGUACCAUGUGGUUUAAAAACCACAUGGUACUAAUUUGAUACGAAAAUAAAAUCACAGAGUACUAGCUUGAUACACUUUAAACCACAAGAUACUAAAGUGAGAAAGUGCGAAACCAUAGAAUACUAACUUGACACACUUUAAACCACAGGAUACUAAAAUGAAAAGUGCGAAACCGCAGGGGUUUUUUUGAAGUUUUCCCUUUCUUUUAUUACUCUCCCUUAUCUUAACCAAAACCCUCUCUCAAAAUUUUAUAUUCUCCUUCCAAUUUUCAUUCCAAAUAUUUUCGGAUGAUUCGUCAUUUCAUCUUCCAUUCCAAAACAAUCCAAUUUAUUUUUUAUUUCUAUUUCAAUCAUGAACCAAGUAUGCCGUAUGUCUUAUAUAUAUAAUCUUAUAAAAUUUCAAAAAUAUAAAAGAAAAAAAAUCCGAUUCUAAUAUAUUAAAAAUUAAUAAAAAUUAAAGUUCAGUUUAAUCUAUUCUUGAAUUCUCAUACUUAAUUAUCAAAAUUGGAAGAGAAACAUAAACAUUUUCAUAUAUGGAAGCCUUACACAAUUAUAUGCAAAGUUCAGAAGGUCAAACUAUCAACAUUAAAAAGUUUAGAAGGCAAUGUACAAAACCAGCCAAAGUUUAGGGGUCUUUUCACAUUUUUCCCUCCCAUAAAUAAUCCAAUUACUAAGUACACCAUUUAUUUCGAAAGAAAAAUUAGAAAAACUUCAAAUACCACCCUGUGGUUUCGCACUUUUUUAUUUAGUACCCUAUAGUUUAAAGUGUAUCAGUUUAGUGCUCUGUCCAUUCAUUUUUAUUUUUUUAUUAUUCCCUCCACUAAUUUUUUUUAUUAAAUCAGUGACAAAAUUAAAACUAAAAGAUAUUAAAGUGAAUAUUUGAUAAACCUAGGUAGGGUAUUUGAUGUUUUUUGUAUAUACUUUAACGAAAUGUUAAUGAAGGAGCUGACGAAAUGAGAAAAAUAAAACUACAGGAUACCAAAUUAGUAUACUUUAAAUUAUAAAGUACUAAAUUGUGAAAAUACGAAACUACAGGGGUGGUAUUUGAAAUUUACCUUUUUUUUAAAAAAAAAAAAAAUUAUCACCAUUGUGGUUCUUCAACCCAUCAUUACCUUUUUUAACUCCUCAUGUACACAAUACAACAUUACAACCUCUCCCCUCUCUCUCUCUCUCUCUCUCUCUCUCUCUCCUCUUUUGUGUAUAUAUAUAUAUAUAUAUAUAUAUAUAUAUUUGACCUCUUUCCUUGCUUUGUCGAUCGAGACGAGCGCAAUUGGAGGAGGGAAAAGGAAAAAGGUAAUCCCCAGCGUAUAAAAGGAGAUAGAGAGAGAGAGAGGGAGAGGGAGAGGGAGAGGGAGAGGAGGAGAAUGGGAGAUGAGGAGAGUGGUUGCUACAGUGUUGGUUUUUUGGAGAGGUGGGAAUUUGUGGAGCCCCUCUCUUCUUCCGAUGCCGAUUCCAAGAUCUUAGAGAGGACGAGGAGGAGGAGGCGCCGUCCCCAAUCCUUCUUCGAUCGGUGCGUUUUUAAUCCAAUCCAACCAUCUUACUUGUGUUCAUCAUCGUCGUCAUCAAAUGUCAAUUCCGAUUUUGAUUGCUGGGUUGUGUUCCGAUUCGAUCUGAGUAGGAUCUGAGCUUCUGAGAUCGAUUCGGGACGGAACCGAUUGGUUGUGUAGUGAUUUGGUUUUUGUUUGUCUCGGUAGAUCUGAUGUUGGUUUUGAGCUAGAUGCUUAAACAAAAAAAUCCAAUUUUAUGCUGGUUUCGAUCUCUGAGAUUGGAUCUGAUUGAUAAAUUUGCUCAGUCUGUGGUGAUUUGGUGUAAUUUUGUUGUUUAUGCUGUUGGAUCAUUGUGGAGGAUGAUGAUAGUGUUGAAUUUGCAGAGAAGGGAAUGGAGUCGGACGUCGGAAAGCUAUUUAUCGGGGGGAUUUCGUGGGACACCAAUGAGGACCGGCUCCGCGAGUACUUCGGAAGCUUUGGGGAGGUGGUGGAAGCUAUGAUCAUGAGGGAUCGGACCACCGGCCGGGCCCGUGGAUUCGGUUUCAUUGUGUUUGCAGACCCUGCCGUCGCGGAGCGAGUCGUCGCGGAGAAGCACAUGAUCGAUGGGCGCAUGGUAAUCUCCUCAGCGUUGUCGUUUCCGAUCUAUUUUCUUUCUCUGUUGUGCCAGUUUGAUCAUUUUUAAUCCUUGUGGAAACUAUCUUGCUACUAACAUCACAGGGAUCAUGAGUGUUGGGAUCACUGUGAUGAUUUUGGGGAUGACUGGGGAUAAAUUAUGGUUGACACUAUUUUGAGGGAAGUCUGGACUUCUUGUUCUGUUUGGCCAGAACUACUAUCCCCUCGCAAAACUUGUGGCUUUUGGCAAAAUAAGAGGAGUAACUGGAGUUAUUCAUCUUCUCUCCUUGGAAUAAAGGGGGCCUUAGGACAUAUCUUUAUAUAAUUUCCCUCGAAGUUCUAUGAACAUAUUAUUCAUCUAUGAAUUGCAAUCAAAGAAAUGUGAAUAUUGAACGAUUAAUUUGCACAAUUCAAGUGAUUGGUUGAUAAACAUUGUGUCAGGUCGAGGCAAAAAAAGCUGUUCCUCGUGACGACCAGAGUGGCCUCAGCAAGAGCAACAGCAGCGCGCAUGGCUCACCUGGCCCGGGACGUACCAAGAAGAUAUUUGUUGGGGGACUGGCUUCCACUGUGACGGAAGCCGACUUCAAGAAGUACUUCGAUCAGUUCGGCACGAUCACCGAUGUUGUCGUGAUGUACGACCACAACACGCAGAGGCCAAGGGGGUUCGGUUUUAUCACGUACGACUCUGAGGAUGCCGUCGACAAGGCAUUAGUCAAUACCUUCCAUGAAUUGAAUGGUAAGUUGGUUGAGGUCAAAAGAGCGGUUCCGAAAGAACUGUCCCCUGGGCCCACCAUGCGGAACCCACCGAUUGGGGGUUAUAACUUAGCAGUGAGUAGGGCCAAUAGCUUUCUCAGUGGGUACAACCCUGGGUAUAGUCCGAGCUCUAUUGGUGGCUAUGGGAUGAGAAUGGAUGGCAGAUUUGGGUUUCUUGGCGGUGGUGGGCGUAAUGGGUACCCUCCCAUCAGUGCUGGUUAUGGUAUUGGCUUGAAUUUCAAUCCAGGCACGAGCCUAAGUUUUGGUAGUAGCUCGAAUUUUAGUAAUAAUGGCCUUCAGUAUGGACGGCAACCAAGGCUUUAUCACAACGGGAGCUUAAGUAGAUAUAAUAGUAGUAGCGGUUAUGGAGGGGCUAAUGAAAAUUCUAGUUCAAUGUUUAAUUCAUUGUCUCGUAUAUGGGGUAAUGGCAGUCUUAACUAUAAUACAAGUUCUGCAAGUUCUAAUGGCUUCAUGCCAUCUGCAAGUGGAGGUUUAGGUGGAUUUGGCAAUAAUGAUGGUGUGAAUUGGGGAAGUUCGUCUCCUAUUUCUGCUCAGGGAAUGGGGAGUAGUUCAGAAUAUGCAAAUGCAAAUCUGAGUUUUGGAAUUGGGGAGAUUAGUAAUGCAGGUAUGGGUGCCAAUAGGUUUGAAAGGAACAGUGGGGGUGGUAUCGCCGACGAUUCUUUUAAUGUAUCUAGCAAUGGGUAUGAAAGUAAUUAUGGGGAUCAAUACGGUAGUAGUAGCUCGAUAUAUGGGGACACAACCUGGCGGACUGCAUCUUCUGAGCUUGAUGGGCCGGGCUCAUUUGGUUAUGGGCUUGGUGAUGCACCUUCAGAUGUCACAGACAAGGGUUCAGCUGGUUAUAUGGGCCGCUAUAAUGUUACUAGUCAAACAAAUAGAGGUAAGCUCUUCAUCUUGAAUAAGGCAUGUGAAAAAUAUUGUUGCUUUUGCUAUGAUAAGUAUUUUGGAUGGGUAGAACCUUGUUGGUGGUUUUUUCAUUUGAAGUAGACAUAGGUAUGCAGGUAAUAAACUUCUCCUGAUCCUUGCUACUGACAUGUUACUAAAUUUAAAUUUACGCUAGUGGAUAGGAUACAACUGGGACAAAAGCCGCUCCUUACAUAUUUAAAGCCUUUUAUUUCCCGCGAGAUAUCUGCGUUCCUUAAAUUGUUGCAACUUGUUUAAUCCAAAUAGAUUGGCUGUUACUUAUAUUCUAAUCCUGGAUAAUUGGGGCCACUCUUCAUUGUAGGCUGCUUUUGUCUAUCCUGCAGAUCAAAGCAGUUCCUAACAAUAUUUGAGAUGCUCUGAUGUUGGAAACCCAUGUUUUUUAUGGAGGUUUGCCACUCCCAUGACCUAAUGAUACAGUCAUCUAAUAUACUACUAUUACAGUAAGACCAAUUCAAUCAUGCCUACCUCAUAUGCACUUGCCCAAUGCAUAUACAAAUUGCGGUAUCAUCAAUGUAGCUCUGGUGUCGUAAUCGUCAAUUGAAACUUCCUUUAGCCAACUGUAGUUAAGAUUGCCUCAUGUUUGGAUUUUCUUUUCUUUUUGUUUUCUUUUUCAACCAUAAACCAACUGGACCCUCCUAGUUGGACUGAAUCGGGUUAAUUGCAUUGAAUAUGGUUUGGAUCAGGUCGUCUGUGGUUUAAUUGGGCCACUCGGGAUUGAUAUUGUUCAUUUGUCGAAAUAGAUUAAGACAAUGGUGUACUCACUCUGUAUCAAAGUCGUAUUAUUAGUCUUUUCCUUGUGUAGAAUAUAGAAUUAUACAAAGGGCAAGUUCGAUUCACAAUAGAAAUCAGAACCACAAAUGGAUGUCUAUGAGAUUGACUCGUUUUGUUAUUUCUUUUGGUUUGCAACCAGAGUAAGAAUUGGAAUGGAUGAUCGUUUUCCAUCUUGGAAUGUGAUGUUGCUAUUGUCUUUUAGGCUGGAUUAAAACUUAGGCGAUUCGCAUGGAAGAUGGAAUUUGAUUCCAACUGACCAGACCAGUAGAAUAGGAGACAACAUUCCAAUUGCUGUUUUGAAAGUUUUCCAAAUGGAAAGUUGUAAGCAGUUUUGUUGAAUCAAUGUGGGUUUUUGGUUGCUAACUGGCAAGAUUCAGAAGUUUUGAGCUGGAUGCUCUUCACAGCAUUCUUCUCUCUCCAUAACUUGUUGGGAUUUUAUUUUGUUUGUAUUAAAUUUAUAUGCCGUAUCAAUGAACACUUUUCAUUAUGUUAAAAUAUCUAUUCCCCCUUUCAUCCUUUUCUUAUAUUGUAAUCUUUCUGUCUUGCUAAUUUUUGUCUUAUUUACUAAGACUUGGAAUGAUAUUAGAGUGAUGCUUUUUUACUUUGUUCUUUCUGAAGCUACCAUUUAUUUUCUCGAUUCUUUCCUGAGAUAAUGUAUAUAUAUGCUUUAUUAAUUUCUAUGUUCAUUAUUCUUAUCUUUUUUAAGUAGUAUGUCCUUUGAUACUUUCUAUGGCUCAUUGUAUAGGAAAGUUUUUUAAGAUCGAGAUCUUUUUGUUUUGCUAGUUCACUCAUUAGAAAUAACAGUCCUCAAGCAUUAUGUCCAUUUGUUGAAUUCAUGAUACUAAUUUUGUUCUAUAGUUUGAUCCGCAUUCCACUACUGUCGUCAUUGUGUCAACCGAAAGUGUCUAGUACUCUACUCCUUAAGUUUGAUUCGCAUAAUAAUGUAGUCCUUUAGCCGACUAUCAAAAAUAUCACCAUUUCCGCCCCAUUAUAAGACUUUGUUAAAAGCAAUACUGCGAAAAUGGCUGAUUAAGGUUAAACUCUAGGUACGAAGUUGAAAUCAAGGUCAAACAUUGGGGUUAAACUUAGAAGUCUCGGGAAUGUGAAUGGCUCAUACUUCAGGCACAAAGUUGUUAUAGUUGAAACUCUGAGUGUGCAAUUGAAAUGUGGGGUUGAAUUUCAUUACUAAAUUUGUUAUUAAUGUGAUACUGUAAACUUGUAUUUCCAGUCACCAUUUGUUGUUUUCUGAUAUAUUUCGUUCUUAUGGCUGCGAUGACUGGAACAUUAGGGGAUCACCAAUAGUAAAAUCCGAGAAACUUCUCAACAAUAUGACGUUGCAAAGAGUGCAACUGAUGAGUGAAAACACUUUGAAUGAGCAGUUUGGUUACCAAAAGUACUUUGCCCACUCUUGAAGAACUAUUAUCCCCUUGUCUUUCUAAGUUACUUAGGAAACUUGCGAUAAUCAUGUGUAGAAUAUAAUUUCAGUUCAAUCUCUUUGAUUGGUUAGUUCAAGCUAGUUCUUUGUUACAAUAAAUUUGGCUUCUUGUAGAAAUUUAAUGUUUCCUGUCCCUGAUUGAUUAAUUUCAAGCUUUUUUUUUUUUUUUUUUUUUUUUUUUUUUCUGUCCUUCAGGAAUCGCUACGUAGGAGGAUCAUUCUUUCACUACUGAGCUUGUUAUAGGUGAAGAAUCUCAUCGAAUCUCAGGUGCAUGGUUGUGAAUUUCAGAAAUACCAACAUAAAUAUUGGUUCGUUCGCCUUUUGAUUCUAACCACAGUUGGUUUAUGAAACUCGAAAUCUCGGACAAUUCAAACAAUUGGGUCUUUUUGUUUUCGCAUAAGGCUUGAGAUUUUUUUUUUCUCAGUUCCAUUUUCCAACAGCGAGUUUAGGUUUUUUUCGUCACUUUUGGCUUUUGAUUGAGGUUGUGAAGUGGGAUUACGGGAUGUAUUCAGGAAAGUGUUUAUGUAUGUUGUGGGUGUGCCCUAUGAACUUUUUUUUAUACGAAAAAAGAGGGGGGAAGAGAACUGUAAUAUGUUGUUUAUCAUUGGAGAUCAUCUGGUUGAGUUUCUAGUAAAAACUUUGGGGGAUAUUUUUAUCCCCUAUGAAUAAGGCUUUGCCGCACUAUAUUCUAAACUAACUUUCUAUUUGAUUUUUGUGCACCUUUUUUGGGAAUCUUUGUGCAGUUCAUCUAACAACUGUACAUUUUGUUCUGUGUGGUUUAAUUAAGGCUUCUUAGCUGUGUGAUGCAUAACAGCAUAGGAGUUCAUGUUCCCUUCCUAUGUUGUGGAAAGAUGAGCUGGUAUUAUUCUCCUGAACUGGGGAGCAUCUCUUCCCUUUUCUAGCUUUUCUUUUUGCUUCCUUGAUCACGUCACUGAGUAUGAUCCAUUAUGGCUCUAGAGUGUAGAUUGAGGGUCUUAUUAGAAUUUUUUUUUUUAUUAAUAGCCUUUUAAAAAAUACUCUAACUAUAAAAUUAUUCCUCUAAAAAAUUUAUUUACAAAAAUUAGGUCUAUACAGUGAAUAAAUUACUAUUUUUUAAAUGUGAUAAAUUAUUCACCACUUUCUUUAAAGAAUUAAAACUAUUUUUAGUAUUUAAUAUUAUAUAUCUUUUGAAGUUUGGAUGUUAGAAAUAUAUAAAUUAGGAUAAACCGGUGAAUGAUUCACCAUUUUUAUUGGCCUAUUUUUAUAAAUAAAAAUUUUAGAUGUCUAUUUUUAUAUUUAAAAAAAUUUGUAGGUUUAGAAGCUCAAAAACUUUAUCUUACUAUGAGACACGUCUUGUCAGAUACAGUCAUUUCCAGUGAUAGGUCUUACUCAACACAAAUUUUAAAGUACCGCGAAGUGAAGCCCAAUGAUAAGGUGAAGAUUUGUCUAAAAUGACUAGUCUCACAAAAUAGCUUAUCUAAGUAGGCCCCAGUUGCUAUAAUUGGGUUGCCGUCCUCUACAUUUCCUUGCAAUUUUUCGUUAUGCAUUAUUUCCUCAGUUUAGUGAGAUAAAAAAUGUCCUCGCAAACGGCAUAUAAAAGAGAAAAAUGAUACUCUAGUAGAGAUGUACCGAUAGCAUUGCUUCUGGACGAAAUUUGAAGUCAAAAAAGGCAUGUCGUAGUUAGACAAUAGACGGCGACUACAAGGGUAUUUCUGUCCGAUUUCACGGAGGAGUUUAACUUGAAAGUUUUAGUUUGCACUGGCGAGCAAAGCCUACCAUUCUAAUUAUAUGAAUUAAAAGAUUGAGGACCAAAUUUUGCAGCUAUGUUAAAAAGGUUGGGGACAACCUGGUACAAUACCCUUUUAAUGAGCUAAGACAUGGAAACUGCAGGAUUCAGGUGAAGCUUACUAGUUGCAGAAUUAGGUGUGUCCCAGAAACUUCGGCAUAUUAAAUCCAAGGAGAUCAACUUUUGGGUGCACUAAAUUAGGUAUGCCCUAGUACGGGAGGACAAAAAUUUCUUGGGAAUGAAACUUCAAACUGUCGUUUGAGAUUAUAGGAUGUUAUAGGAUCUGUUGUCACGUAGGUGUCACGUAAGCCUCGAAUCUCACAUCUCAAAACGCGCUGAGUAAUCUUCAACACUAAGGGCAUAUUUGUUUGGAUAAAAAUGGGGUGGAAGUGGAGAAGAGGGAAAUUGUUUUCGUUCUAAACGAUCACCUUCGUUAUUUGGUUCGCCGUAAAAAACUUACGGUCGAAACUCGAGUUAAUCUCAAACAACGUAAUUGAGUUCGGCCUAUUGUAGGCCGAAAUCAAUUACAAUAAAAAAAGGUGAAAAAAAAAUAAAAUAAUAUAUUAGAUAAAGAUAGUUAUAUUUAAAUAUAUUUAAUUAUGUUACUAAUUACUCCUUUAUUCAGUCGACACAUUUAUUACAUGAUAAAAAUUAAUUAGUUAAGUUAUAAUUUUUUUUAUUUAAUUUGUACAAUUAAAAUAUGAUAAAAAUUGAUUAAUUAAAUAUUAAUAUUUUUUAUUUUUAAUUUUAUUAUUGUAUUACUAUAAUUUAUGUAUAAAAAAUAAUUUAGUUAUUUUAAAUUAAAUUUUAAUUAUCUAAAAAUAUAAUUAUAUUAUUUUUAUUUAUUAAAAUAUUUAUUAUUUAUAUAUAAAUUUUAGUUUUACAUCAUACACUUCUUAAUCCUACCAAACAAACAGCAUAACUAAUAAAACUACACUUCUAUAACUACGAAACAAACAGUAAAGAAGAAAUAGUUUUCACCAAACUCCACUUCAACCCAAAGUUUACUUCAACCUAAAGUUCAGUUUCGGUAAAACAAGCAUGCCCUAAGCGGAUCCAUAUAAUACAUCUUAGAAAAAUUAACUGAAAAAAAAAUUAAAAUAGUUUAUUUGAUAAUCUUUUAGUUUUUAUAUUUAAUGCCAGAUUAUUUUUCAAAGUUUUUAAAUUAAAAUAGUUUAAACGGUCAAAAUGCUCUUGUUUAUUUGUAAAAAAAUCUUGGGAAAACUUCAAAAACCCCCCGUGGUUUGGUAGUUUCUCACUCUGCCCCCCUGUGGUUUAAAGUGUAUCAAUUUACCCCCCUGUGGUUUCAUUUUUAUCUUUUCGGUAGCUUUUUCGUCAAUAUUUUAUUAAAUUAUAUACUAAAAAUUUCAGAUACCCAUCUAGAUUUAUCAAAUAUUCACUUUAGUACCCUUUAAUUUUAACUUUAUAACUGAUUUAAGAAAAAAAAAAAUAAUGAAAUUGAUAAGAAAAAAAAGAGAAAAAAGAAAUCACAGGGCGGCAAAUUGAUACAUUUUAAACCACAGGGGGGGAAAGUUAAAAACUACGAAAUCACAGGAAGGGUUUUGAAGUUUUCCCAAAAAUCUUUAAAUAUAUUCCUAACCCUAGGGAUGGCAACCCGGCGUGGCGGGGACCCAUCCCUGCCCUGUGCCGUCAGCCCGUCACCCCGAGUUUUCGUCAUCCCCGAUCCCGCCUAAUCUCUGUCAAUUGGAAAAAAAAUUUCCGUCCCCGUCCCUGCGGCGCGGAUGUUCCCAUCCCUGCAGGAACCUGCAGAAUUUUAUAAAAUAUAUUAAAUUAAUAUUUUACUUAAAAUUUUUAUUAAAUUUAAUUUAGUUUUAAUUUAAAUAACUUUAAUUUUUAUUUAAUUAUUAAGUUUAUUUUCUAUUCACUAUCAAAUUAUAAAAAUGUAUAGUGAUCAAUAUUAUUUAGCUAAUAUACUACAAGUGGAUGUAUAUAAGAUACACACCAACUUUUGAGCGUACGAGAAGUACUGCUCUUUAACUCAUUUUUACUUUGCCAUUCUAUAGUUUAAAAAAAUUGUAUCUAGCUAUUCUGUAAUUUCAUCUUUAUUUAUAUCUAAAAAACCUACUACCAAAUAGCUAAGUGUAAUUUUUUGAACGACAAUAUAACAAAGUAAAAAAUACGCUUAAGUGUAAUUUUUUAAAUCAUAAAAUACAAAAGUGGAAAUAAACUAAACUACAGACAUGCAAAUUGAAGUUUACCCAAGUUUUUAACUUAGACAAGAUAUUUGGCAAUUAUUUGUUUUGCCCGGCCUUGUUGCCGCCACUAGUCGAAGACUCACAACAUCUCUAAGGGGCCUUUUCUUUUUCAUCAUUUCGGCCUUGUUUGGCGAUCGUGCGGCCUGCUCAUCUACUCGUAGAAGUUUUAAUUCGAAACUUUUUCAAAAACACUUUGUCGAGCAUGACAUUGCACGCGCAACUGUCCCACCCAAAUAGGCCGCGCACUAAUGUGCUUUGUCGAGUAUGGCACUGCACGCGCAACUGUACCAUCCAAAUUGGCCGCGCGGUUGAGCGCCGCAAAAGCCGUGCGCAACCGCGCGGCCAAGCAGCUACUUUAUUCACCCACAAGUAUAUAUGAUACCUUAGAACUACAUAUAAUAAGCAAUUAGCUUGCGGCGAUGCACGAAUUUUAUUUUAUGUUUUGCGUGCCUACUUAGUUAAACUUAAAGUAAAAUGUAUACAUUUGUAUUUUAGAAUAAUUUUUUAGAUAUAUUUAAAUACUUAAAAAUUAUAAUUAAAUUUUAGCCUGUACUAUGGACCAAGAUAACUCCCAAAAUAUUAAUUAUGAAUGAAAAAGAAAAUAGUCAUUUUCAUUACCACAUAAAUUGAAACUAUUAUUUUUUACAAUAAGAGCAUCUUGAUUUCCAAAAUUUUGAACUCAUGCAAAAAUGUAUAUAAAUCUUACACUCUAUUUAUCCAAGAGUCAAAAAUUGGUCAUUGUCUUGUCAACUUUUUUUUUAUUUUUAUAAAUACUAAAAAAUCCAAAGAAUAUUAUGAGCCUUAAUUUAAUCCGAACAAAUCUAUUCCGAACAGAUUCAAUUUCCAAUCCAAAAAUUAUUUUUCACCCUUAUUUGCUUGAUGGAAGUUAAUGACUUUGAUGCUAAGGUUUUUUCAAUUUUUUUGUUUGUUUCAUCUCAGUUCUCAUAUUAACAAAUUAACAAAAAGAUGAAAAAAAAAAUUAUAUCUUUAUUAUUUUUUCAGUAAAAAUUUAUGAAACUUAUUCGAACUAUAAUGUAUUUUGAUUCAACCAUCUAACCUUUUAAAAUUUAAAAUUUGCUAUUUAAUCUUGUAAUUCAUUUUAUUCGUGCCAUUUAAUGACUAAUAUUUCAAAUUUUGAAUUAGUAAUUUACUUAUAGAAAGCUUGAUUAGCAUAUUUUUUAUAUAAUAUGUCAUUCUCAAUCAUAUUGGAUUUUGAAAACAUAUUAUACGCAUAGUACUCCUUUAUGUGUGAACCAUAAAUUUGUAAUAGGUUGGCUGGUUGGGUUAAAGUGAUUUAAAUCUUAAAAGUUAACUUGUAAUAGUUUCAACUUAGAAGUUAAUAUUUUUUAUUUUUAAUUUUAGAAGCUUUAAUUACCUUGAUCCUUUUGUACUCACGGUUAUGUUUUCGUUUCGUGCGAGUAGGAAAAAUCUUGCCCAUUCGUCUGUUGCAUGCGUUCGAACGGAUUCAAUUGGUAGGACACGAGGCGUGACAAAAAUAAACAAUUUUGAAUUUUUUUUAUAUUUCAUAAAAAUUUCGUAUUUUUGUUUUUAAAUUUUUUUAGAAAAAUAAGAACACUAAUUUUUUCAUAAAAUAUGAAAAUUUUCUUUCAUAAAAAAUUAUUUUCUUCCAAAUCAAACCAACGGAAAACUAAAAAAAAAAUUUUAUUUUUUUACUUUCUCCAUACUUUUUCAAGAACUUUCCGUUUGGUUCGGGAUUAAGAAAAAAAUAGCUAUUUCAGGAAUAGAGUUAAGUUAAGGGUUAAAGUGGGAUUAAAGUUUUUUUGUGUUUGGUUGGGGGUUGGAGUUAGUCUAGAAUAAUGAAAAAUAGUGUUUGGUUAGAGUAGGUGGGAUAAGAAGAUAAUGAUUGAUAAAGAAGGGUAAUGAUUGGUUGGAGCAGGUGGGAUAAGAAAGAUAGUGAGUUAUUAUAAAUAGAAAAUAGUGUUUGGUUGGAGUUUGGCGGGGUUAGCUAACCCGGGAUAAUUUAUUAGAGAUGGGAUUAGCUAACCCCACCCAUUUUUUUGGGUGUUUGG
rnacentral:lncRNA from 1 species